UAAACUGUCUGAAUAAAGAGUUGAUGGGACAUGUCCCCAACUAACUCCAACUACUGAAAUAAACUGAGAACUAAAAUAUUAAUGAAAUCAUCAUGUCCACGGAAGAUGAGGACUCACUUUUAACUUUGACUGCUGAGACUGGAAUCUACUGCUCGUCUGGAUCUCGUGCCUCUAAACCUAUGGUAUAAGACACCAUAGCGCGAAUGCGUCAGUACUUUAAAUAAACUGGUAUGCAAGUAAGGUAAGCUAAAUGCAUGGGGUUCACAUGCAUGAACAAUAAUAAUUGACUGACUAAUAUGAACGUAAGAAUACAUGCAUGCAUAUUUAACUAUAACUGACAUUGUGAUAGGACUGAAUGCUAAGUUCUGACUACUAAAUUUACUAAUAACAUGGAAUUAUUGAUAUCUGAGGGACUGAUACUAUGUUACUGAUACAUGAAUAACUAUUUCUAAUAGUUCUGAUUAUGAAGAAUUAGUUUGGUUGACUGUGUCUAACAGUCCUGAAGCUGAAUACUGAUAACAUGAGUUCUGAUAACUAAUAUAACUGAAAACAUGAGUGAUUGUGUCUAACAGUCCUAAAUCUGAUGGAACUAGCUGAGUUCCGUACUGUAUCUGAGUAACUGAAUUUGAGAUCAAUCCUAUCUGGCAGGUGAUCUCUAAAUCUGAUGAUACCAUUACUGGUUGACCAUAGUUGAGAUCAGUCCUGCCUAAUGGGUGAUCCCAGAGCCUAUUUAUAAUGAUAAGGAGUGACUAUAUCUGGCAGUCCUAAAUCCAUACACUGAGCUGAAUUGAUUGUAUCUGACGGUCCUGAUUCUAUAACUGAAACUAUUAGAUGUAUUCAUCUAACCAACAUGCCCUAUACUAAGAUAACUGGGGUCCAACGUAUAACCCCAGCUGGAAAGGUGUCAGUACACGCCACUGGUAAAGACAACUGUUGUGGAGUCAGUCCUAAUCUAGUAGGUGAACCCAGGGAUCAGUCCUAUACAUUUAAAUGUGCUAAUGGGUGAUCCCUGAGUAUGUUAGUCCUAUCUAACAGGUGAUAUCUUGUACCUACACUGGCUACGUAGUUCUGGAACUUAGGGAUUGCUUCUAGGGAUCUCAGUCCUAUCUAGCGGGUGAGUCCCCAUCCAUAGGCUUGCUCAAUGCUGAAUCCUACUCCCAUCGGAGAUACACUAAACUGAUUAAUCGAGAUGAACUAAUUAACUGAACUGAACUAAUUGGCUGAACUAAACUGAUUAUCUAAACUGAAAUGAUUAGCUAAACUGAACUAAUACUAGUGGAAUUGCUUGGCGGAGCUAAACAAAAUUUACUGAGUUCCAUUGACUGAUGGAAUGUACUGAGUUCUGAGGACUGACUGAGAAUACUAUAGUUACUGAGAUUCACUAGAAAAACUGAGGUUACUGAGAUUACUGAAUACUGAGAUCACUGAGAUUACUGAACUACUGAGAUUACUGAGAUUUCUGAGAUUUCUUGAGUCACAUAACUGACUGAGUUCUAUGGAUCAUAGCUUGAUUGAGGAGAACGUGAAAACAUGACAUGGCUCUAGGAACAUAGCUAAAUGUUUGGGUACAAGUACCCCCAGGACUCGAUGAGAAGAAAUUGACAUGGCAUGGCUUACUUGAACACAUGACCAACAACACAAUUCAUAAUUCAUAUAUUGAAGCACUUCAUCAAAUAUGUGAUAUGCAUAAACUUGUACAUACAUGGGGAUUUCAUGAUAUCAUACUAGUUCGGCAUUGUUCCUUUAUCUAGGCAUUUAAUCAUACACAUGAUAAGCAUAGCACAUGUAGACAACAUUAUACAACAAUCAAACAUCAUGAUUCAUAUCUAAUUUCAUCAUCCUAGGGUUUAUUUAUAGGUUCACAUGAAUAUACAUCUAUAUAAAUCAAUUCCAUAUAAAAUUGAUCCCUCAACAUGGAUUUGAAUUCAAUUGAUCAUUCUCAACAUAAACAAAACAAACCCUACAUGAAAUUCAUAAAGAAAUCCAUAAACUUAAACUUAGAAAAGAGAUUCUUGGGCUUCAUGGACAAAAGGAGUCCAUGAAUGAACACUACGCAUACCUUAGCUUGUGAUUCUACGAAGUUGACAGAGAGAUUCUUGAAAUUUGACGGUGAAUUCUCUUGGAAUUGAACCUUCUAUGAAAACCCUAGGGCUUGUUCUUGAGAGUUUUUGAGAAUAAUUGAGUAUAAGUUAUUGAAUUAUGACCAAAUAUUGUGUUAUAAGGCUUACAUAGAGUGGGAAAUUGACCCUUUUAACCCUAGGACACGUAUUUGAUUUCUAAGAAAAUUUCUCGAUUAUCAUCCUUGGCGCGACGCACCACUAUCGCACCAAGUCACUAGAAAGUGACAAAUAGGAAAUUACAUGGUGGCGCGAUACGGAGCUAUCGUGUUGCCAACUUAUAUGUGACCUGGAAGUUUUGGACGACGUGCCACUAUCACGGAGCAACACUAGAAAUUGACAAUUGCCAUUUGAGCUAUCUCUGCGAUAUGCUGAAGGCUCAGGUGAUACACUGUCUUACUAAAAAGGCUCUAACUCUUCACCCGAGUGUUGAAUUUGGGAGAAUUUGGUAUCUAUGGAAAGCUUAUUAAAUCUUCCACAUGACAAAAAGUUAAAAUCUUGAAAUACCACGUGUACAAAAGUGAAUUCAUCUUUCAAAAAAAGCUUCUAACAUUCUUGGGAAACUUUUCAAGCUAGGAAAAAUACGGGUUAUUAUAUAUCCAAAGGAAAGGAGAGUGUGACAUUCUUUCUUUAACACUAACUUGUUGGUUGUUUUGUUGUUGUCUUUCUUAGGUACCAUGGACAAUAAUUCUAUCUUGGCCCGUCUUGAAUCUAUCAACUGUGACAUUGAAAGACAAAAAAUGACAGCCCGUCUUGAAGCUGUCCGUCAUAACCUUAAAAGACUAGAAAGGGAGUGGGUGCUGUACAAAGAAGUUAGAAACCAAAUGCCCUAAUCUACACCAAAACCGAUUCCUCCAUUCCAAGCUCUACUUAACCAAAUGCCUCUACCUCUACCAAAUCUAAUUCCUCUAUUCCAAGCUAGACUAAACUAAAACCAACCCGUCCAUGUAGAGAAGGUUGAGAAGAGGGAAAUGAAAGUAACCCUUGAACAAGGAAAGAUCCUCAUGACUCAAGAACAACAAGAGAUACUUUAUCAUCUAAAUGAGUUCUUGGCUAGGAAUACCAACUUCGGGAAAAGAUAUGAAUCAAGAGAGAAGACUUAACAAACUCCCUUAUGAUGAGAGCUUUCCAAAAGGGCAAGUGGGCUGCCAUGAAACACACCAAGGUGAAUACCAUACCUCAUUAGAUCUAUAAGUUAAUAAUGUUAUCUCCUACACUCCUAUAAACUUAGAAUGUUAUGAUGUGGCUAGUAGCAGCCAAGUGGAUAUAGUUGGUAGUUUGCCUAGAAGAGAAUUGCAUGAGUCUUUCUUUUGUGAUACUCUUGGUAUUGCUAGGUUGCAUGAAGAUCAAAUUCUUGUUGUAAUUAUGCAAGCAUUAGUUGAUCCUAUAGAUGAAUAAAUUGAUUCUUCUCAAAAGAAUGAUUUGUGUCCACCUAGUGCUAGCACUUGUAAUGUGAAUAAGUUCCUACUGCCAAGUGAUAAGAGCAUUCACAUACUAAUUGUCCCUGGUGAAAACCAAGGUGAGUCUAUGUUGGCAUGUGAGUUGCCAACAACUAGUGAGGGUGUGUAUAAUGAUCAACUUACUCAUGAAUGUAGUCCACUACCUGAGCAUAUGAAUGGUGUGCUUGAUGAGUAUCAAGUUAGUGAUGAUGUUGAUAGAGUUGAUCAUGAGAUUGGAGAUAAUUCUUUGAGCAUAUCGUGUGAUGAAAGCCUUAUUUUUGCUCAUAAAACUAGUGAAAUUGAAAAUAUUGUUAAGAAUGAUCAAUCAGGUGAAAAUGACCUUGGUUUGCUUGAAUGUUUAGGAAACUAUAUUAGUGAUUGUUCUUGUAAAAAUAGUUUUGAUUAUGAAAUCUUUUAUGCCCAUGGUGGUUUGUAUCUAUAUGAGGAUUGCCCUUAUAAAAGAGGAGUUGAUGCAUGUUUAGAAAUUCUAUAUGCUUCUUCUUUAAGUGUUUCUUAUUUUAAGCAAACCCAUAGUGAAGCUAUUGAAACUAAUAAUUGGGUGCAUUCAUGAGAACACUAUAGUUGAAGUUGACUUGCAAGACACCUUUCUCUACCCUCUUUUUGCUCAUGAUAUUUCCAAUAGUGAUACAGAGGGUAUGCCUAAUUUUGGGGAUGGCACCAUAUGGGAAAGUGAGUAUAGCCGAAACCUAUGUCCUUGGAUACUUCUCCCAUUUGUCCCAGUAACCUCUUAAGAUGUGGAGAUUGUUAUACAUCCAACUUGAUACUUGGUCAAGACGAUAAGCAAGGUUUGGUUGUGAGUGUUGGAAUCCUUCCUUAUGAUGGAAGUCUUUCUUGGGGAUUUACAAUCCACUUGAUAGACCUAAGUUAUGCAUGGGGGGAAUUUCCAACCAAGUUAAGUGUUCACUAAAGAAGGGAGUAAUAAAAGAAACCAAGAGAGUUCACUCUUGAGUGUUUCCAUUCUUGACCAAGGUAUCACUACUUGUAGGUCAAGGAGAGAGUUACCUCUUGAAAAUACUUUAGAUGAAUUCCAUUCAUAUAAUACCCUUCUUUGUGAAUUGGUUGUGAUGGGGGGGGGGGGGGGGGCUUUCUCAAAUGAAGCUUUAUGAUUGGGACCCUUGUAAGACCUCGUAAGAUCCUAGCUCAUUACACCUUACCAUUGAAUGUUAAAGGGGUCCAAGACUUAGAAAAUCUCACUAAGUGUUAAGUCUUAGUAUUCUCCAAAGCCCCUUAAACUUCAAUGAUUUUGUUUUUGACCUUCCCGACUAUAGAACGUUAGUGUCUAUGUUAAUUUAUGAUUGGGGUUGUUGAUAGUUCAUCUCGAAUGAGUUUUAGAUUUUCAAUAUGAGGUUUGAGACCUAUUUGGGAGGUCAAAAUAUAGAGGCUCCGUGAUAUCACCGCGGUAUGUCAAAUAUCACAUCGGUAGGGGCAGUGCAGCACCGUAUAUCACAUCCACAGAGCACCACAGAGUGAGGUAUUUCUCAUCGAUUGGUCUAGUUCAAUUUAAUGAGUUUUGGGUCCAGGAGGGUGUUUAAGUUAUUUUUCUCACUCUAAUUCAGCUAUAACACAGGAUUUACGAUCCUAAAAGCAUUAUUUGUCAUCUUUUACACAAAAUUCACUCAAAAAAAGCAAUUCUCUCUCAAGAAAAAACCCUAGCCCCUUCACAAUUCAAGCUCAAGCCAUGAUUUUUAUAUGUUAUUAUGAGUUAUCUUCAUGAAUCUAUUAUGAAUUAAGAUUACAAAUUAUGUUUACUAUGUGUUUUCAUUGGAAAUAGUCCUUGACACGUUCAAAUGAUGAUGUUCGCAUUUUAAAUCCUAAAUCUAUGAUUUUAGUGUUUCAAUUAUGAUAGUAUCACAUGUUUUAACUAUUCUCAUGCUUAAGCCUAUGAAUUUCAAGUGUUUGAUAAAAUGCCUAAAAGAUUGGGUUUUGAACAAUGACUACUUAUAAUGUUUUCAAAGCUUUUGUAUAUUCCCAUUGUUAUUGUUAUCAAGUUAUAGGUUUCAUUAUCUAUAGAAUGAUUUUAGUUAUACCAUGAGUAAUAUCAUUCAGUCAGUUACUAGGGUCAGUUUGAGUUCAAUUAAGCUUAGUUCAGUCCAGUAACCAGUGCGUUUUAGUUGGGAGUAAAAACUUAGCACUGAGUGAAUGUAGGGAUGGCAUCUCCCCUAUUAGGAGGCAUGAGGCACUUGUAUCAUUCCCUAGGUCCAUACCUACGAUGCUACUAUAUCUUUUGAGGGGUUCCCCAUCAGUUAGGCAUGAUACCCUCAUCGUUUAGGAUAUCAAAUUAGUGGAUUCACACAACUAAUGUUAGUACCCAUGGCAUGGUAUUGAUACCCUUUCAACUGGGGUUACAGGUUGGACCCUGAUAGUAUAUUGGGGUAUGUCGGUUAUAGCUAGCUCACAAAGUCUCUGUUCAGUAUUCAGCACAGAGUUCAAUUUUAGGUUUGCUUGACCAUAGCAUACAGUUAUCAGUUAUUCAGUAUCAGUAUUUUAGUAUUUUAGUUUACAGACUAUAUUAGAAUCAUGUUUUAUGCUUGGUCAUACAUUCUCAGAUUUUACAGAUUGUAUCAUUCAUACUCUGUUAUCUCAUUCUAUUCAGUCAGUUACUAUCUCAUGGAUAUAACCUAUGUAUUUUAGCCUAACCUUAUCUCAUAUACCAGUACAUUCAAAGUACGGAUUGCAUACUCAUUUCUUGUGCUAUGAUGUCUUAUAUCAUAGGUUCGGACGCUCGAGUUCCUGAUCGUAUGUAGACAUUUCAGAGCAUCAGCAGCAGUAGCGGAUGUGAGUCCUCAUAUAUCGAGGACCAUUUAUGUUUAUUUUAGUCUUUAUACUCAGUAGCCAGUCAGAUUUAGUUAGGGGCUUAUCCCAUCAACUCCUCAGUCAGUUAGAGGCUUUUCAGGCAGUUAAUCAGUUUAUUAGUUGUUAUUAUCAGUGUUCUCAGAAUUGGUUUUAGAUGCUUUUAGAAUUAUGAUUUUAAUCGAAUGUUUUAGUAUUUAAAACCUUAUGGAGUUUUUAGUUAAAUUCUGCAUAUAUUAGUUUGUUAUCUAUUUUAUUCAGUGCUCACAGCAAGUACCAACUCAUGGGUUAGCUUAUGGUCUCUCGGGACUGUAAGUAUCAUGUGAUUUCCAGGGUUUAUUUUUGAGGCAUUACAAACUUGGUAUCAAAUUUGAAGGUUUUAAAGUGUGCUAGAGAGUCUGAAAGUCACGUUAAGUAGAGUUUUGCGCAUAGGUGUGAAGCGCGCCACUCUUAUAGACAGGAGGCUACAAGACAUUUUAGGAAAAUUUUCCCUUCAUUCAGUAUUCAUGUCAUGUAAAUAAGCAUGAUCUCUAUUUAAACUCUCUUUCUAAAUCGAUCUUUCUUUCGUUUAUAGAACAUGCCUCCCAUAAAUACUAACGAAAAAAGUAACGGGAAUUAGCUCGCACCUCCGCCCCUUCAGGAAGAUCCCCUGAAUAAGCAUGUCUCUCAUGUUGAGUUUAGAGUUGCAUUCACUACUCUAGCUCACUUUGUAGUAGCUUAGAAUAAUCAGCAGGCUGCCAUCCCAGCCAAGAUUCGGGACUUCACCCGAAUGAAUCCUCCUUUAUUUUUGGGAUCUAAGUCUGAUAAGGAUCCACAGGAGUUCCUAGAUGUGGUUUAGAAGGUAACAGAUAUUAUUGGUGUGACUUAUAGUGAGAGUGCAGAGUUGGUUGCUUACCAGUUAUAGUAUGUAGCUCAUACCUGGUAUAAGCAGUGGAAGGGGAAUAGAGGCACAUAUGUAGGGCCUGUAUAGUAGGAGGAGUUUACUACACCUUUUUAGACAGAUUCUUCCCUUUGGAGUUGAGGAAAGUUAAGGUGCUGGAAUUUAUUCAUUUGAGGCAGGGUAGUAUGAGUGUGAAAGAGUGUUCCCUUAAGUUUACUCAGUUGGCAAGGUAUGCUCCUCAUGUGGUGUUUGAUAACAGGUCUAGAAUGAGCAAGUUUGUGUUUGGUGUAUCUGAUAGUGUGGUCAAAGAGUAUAGAACCGCAAUCUUGAUUAAGGAGAUGGACUUGUCUAGGAUUAUGGUCUAUGCUCAGCAGAUUGAGGAGGAUAAGGUUAAGAAGAAAUAAAGAGAGAAUAAGAGGGCUAGGACAAGUAGUUUAAACUUUACUCAGCCAAGGUCAGAGGGUGGUAACCGUCCUCAAUUCUUUCAAAAAUCGUCUACCCUAGCUCUGUCUUCGACUAGUGCUCUAAUGCCAAGGUUCAAAAAUGAUAAUCAGGAUAGGGCGCAGGCUCUAAGACUCAGGGUAGUAUGAACAGUGGUCGAACUAAUCCACUUUGAUAGAAGUGUGGUAGGAAUCAUCAAGGUGUGUGUAGGGUUGGCAAUGAUAUGUGUUUUGGAUGUGGCAAGACGGGCCAUAGGAUAAGGGAGUUUUGACAGGUAUGUGGAAAGGUAGGAAUGAUCACCAGCAGGGUUAGGCUAACUUUUCAGUAGCACCAGCAAGUCGCCCAACUCAACAAGGUGCCACUUCCAGUGCCACCAGCGCUAGAACAGAUUAUAUGCCCUCCAGUCCUAUCAUGAAAGUUCUCCUGAUGUGGUUACAGGUAUGUUACAGGUCUUUCAUUUACAUGUUUAUGCUUUGUUAGAUCUCAUGGCUUCUCUCUCUCUUUUUAACCCUUAUAUAGCUGCCAAUUUCGGAGUCAGUCCUAAAACCCUAGCAGAACCCUUCGUAGUGUCUACCCUAGUAGGUGUCUCUAUUAUAGCCAGGCAGGUAUACAGGAGCUGUCUGGUCAUAAUAUCCCAGAAAGUCACUUCACUUGAUCUUAUGGAGUUGAAGAUGACUGAUUUUGAUGUCAUUCUAGGCAUGGAUUGGCUCCACUCAUGCUAUGCUUCAGUUAACUAUAGAAACAGAGUCAUUCAGUUUCAGUUUCUAGGUGAACCAGCUAUUGAAUGGAAGGGUAGUACUUCAGCACUCAGGGGUCAGCUUAUUUCAUAACUUAGAGUGAGAAAAAUGAUAUCCAAGGGGUGUGUUUAUUAUCUUGUUUGAGUUAAAGACUCUAAUUCUGAGACUUCCAAUCUCAAAUCAAUUUCAGUAGUGAGGAAAUUUCCAGAUGUAUUUGUUGACACCCAAUUUUGACUCUCCAUACUUAAAAUUAGCAAUUUUAGGCUUUAUGAUUGGUAAAGUGCAUAAAAUACAAUUUUUCAUAUAUUCUUUUUAUGAUUUUUAGCAAAUUAACAAUAAUCGCCAUUUUUUAGAAUUUUUUAUCAAUUUAUUUUCAUAGUUUAACUUUGCAUAAUUUAUUGAUAAUUAUUCUUAAUUUCACAAAUUUUAGAAUUUUUAUUAGUUUAUUAUCAUUUUAAUAUUUUUGCACAGCCAUCUGCAUACGUACAUAGCAUAACACUGCAAUUCUUUCUUACAUAUUAUGAUUUUAAAUGCAUAUAGCAUAAUAUAGUUUUUAGGUGAUUUAUUAUAUUUGUUGUUUAUAUUUUUCUGUAGCUAUACAUUGGCAUUCAUCUUUUGGUAUAUUAUUUAAUACAAUCUGCAAACGUAAGUCAGCUUAAUUAUUUUAAUACACAAAGCAACAAAUUAAUCAAGUCAAAAUCUCAUCACUUUUUAAAAGGUGACACUUGAAUUGACGGAUUGAUUUUUCAUCCAUUGAAUAAAUAAUCUUUAUAUAUUGGUUAAAAGAUUAAAAAAUCCAUUAGACAAUAACUCGUGGUUUAAAUAAUGCAUUAAAAGGACAAGAAGGGGUCAAUUUUUAUUUUUUGGUUAAUAAUGGGUGUCACUUUUAUUUAUAAAUAAAGAAAAAGGGGGUUAAUUUUUUAAUCACAAAAUACUAUACACAAUACACGCGCAUACACAGAAGAUCAGCCUUCUCCCCUCUCACUCUCAUCUUAUUUUUCUCUCUCAUCCUCUCCUCUCUUCCACUGCCGGCCUUACUGCUGUCGGAGCUCUGACGGAUCCCGCACCACCACGCUCUACCUUCUUCACCUGUCGCCACAGCCAUCACUGGCCGGCGAAAGUUCGAUCAAAUGGCCCCUCCACUGUCGAACCAGCAAACCCUGCCACUUCUUGAUUUCGGCCAUCAUGGACGGCGAACCACCAGCGCUGCCCCUUUCUCUCCCUUUCCCCGUCACCAAACAACUCCGGCGAACCUCCCAUCGCUUUUUUUCCAUGGUAAUGGCCAAAUUUGGUCGGAUUUAUAUUUCUUUUGGCAUUGCUCCGGCAAGAUCCAUUGAAGCAAUGUCACUUUCAUCAUUGCCUUGUCUUUUUAUGUUGUUAUGUUACCCUUUUGGAUCUGUACGAAGGUGGAUUUUUUGGCAAAUCCUCAUUAAAAUUGGCUAUCUUUUUUGCUUUUUUGUAUAAAUUUUCAUACAUAUAUUUGUGUAAUUUGCUGCUCUUGCAUUUUAUUUAGAUUUGUUGGACUGAUUUGACUAUGAUGGAUGUCGUGUUGUUGCUCUAUUUUGCUACUGUUGAAUUCCUUUUAGAUUAUUGUCUUUAAUUUCCUGGUCAUAUUUGUAAGCUAUUAAUUAUUGUAUUCGAAUUUUUAAGACGAGCACCAUUUUUUGGGGUAAUUUUUGCAUGUUUUGGACAUUGUUUUUAACUUGUGAUUACUACUAAUAAUCUCUAUUGUUGCUGUUGAGCUUCAUUAUUAUUUUGACUAAUUUUCUAUAAUAUUUUAUUCAUAUCAUAUUGUCUUUUUGUUUUACGGAAAAGCAUUUUACUUCAUUGACUUAAUCUAUUGCCUGCUAAUCUUGACUGAUUUGUCACUGCUUUGAAACAGUAAUGCAUAUGCUUGGUCAAUGAAGAAAUUUUUCAUCGAUUUUCGAGGCCUACACAAAUGAAAAUAAGGAUAUUACGUAUAUAAACACGUAAUAAAAUAAAUAAAUUUUGGGUGAUGAUGAAAUUUUAACAACAACGCAAAAGUUUUAUGAUUCAUAUCUUGGCAAGACGAUUUAGGAUGACUAAUAAAUUGAACAACCACUUCGUAGCCAUGGCAUACCUAAAAUCUGAUCCGAGCCCACACUUUUUACUGAAAAAUUCUAUUUCUUAUACAUAUAUGCACACACUUCUUCUCAUUUUUUUGAUAAUUAUUUAUUUGUUACUAAUAUUUUUAUUAUAAGGAUUUAUACAGGUUAUUGGGAAAAUUCGUCAGAAUGACAUUCAAGAAAGAUUUUAAAUUUUAAAGAAGAAUAUGAGGGGGACAUUAGUCAAUUUGAGGAGAAAACUCAAGAAUCAUAACCACUCGAUUGUCAUCUUGAUCUUGAGACUAACAUUGAGAAGGUGAAUAAAAGUAAGUGUGUAGUAGAUAGUGUAAAUUUUGAAGUAGAAUUAGUUGGCCUCACUUGAAGCAUUUUUCCACAUUAUGUUUAGAUGAUAUCUUGUCUGUGGAAUCAUCUAAAAUAGUAGAAGAGUGUGAAGAUGAGGAACAAAACUCCUAUAUUCUUUAUUUUACACUUGAUAAGAAACAUAAAAACAUACCUCACUUUAAGGCCGAAUGGUUUACCACGCUCAAUCCAUUACUCGACUUCUUAAUUUUUGUACCACCCCCUAUGAUCGAGGCAAAAAGAUGGACUCUAAGUUGGGGGUGAAAUUCAUAUCCUCUAAGUGGAGGAAAAAGCUAAGUUGGGUCAUGCCGCAACACUAAAUUAGGUGCUUCUUGGGAGGCAACCCAAGGUAUUUUUUUGUUUGUAUUCGUAUUAUGUGAUUGACAUUAGAUCUUCGCACCCAUGGUACCACAGGUAUGUUUCUGACUCUCUUGCUUUGGUUUGACGCAUUGGGGAUAUUACAUGAUUUUAAGUUGAGGGUAGGGCUACUUGUGUAUGUUGACGUUCAUCUGGGGUUUUUGUUAUCGUGACUCUUUUUCUCGGAUUCUUGUUCCUAGUAGAGCUGACAGGUUUAGGCGUAUUGUAUUUUUUUGUGAUGUGUUGUCAUUAAUUGGGGGAAAAAUAAGUAUCUAGGACAGUUGACAUAUUUUUGUUGAUGUUUCUUGGAAUGAUAAAUACCUCUCCAAUUGUCUGUCUGGUAAAUGUGUGAUGUGCAUCUAUAUGUGACUACUGUGAAUCUUUUUAUGGCAUUAGUACUAGGGACAUGAUAAUAACUGUAACAAUUGCAUGAACCGAAUGGGUAGUAGCUUGUGAUGUAACUUUGUACCAUGUAUAUGUGAGAUACUAUCUAGUUCCCAUUGUGUGUUAAAUCCAGAACUUGCUCGGUUGGUCUUGCCUUGGUUGUAGGAUACGGUUAGGAAAAGAUCAUAGGCUAUUGUUGAUAUUAGUCCACUUUUAGCCUAAAUGACCUUCCAUGUAUGAAUAAUAUCCCUUGAAUCUGAUUUUGAGCUUGAAUGCCUAUUUUUUUUAUUAUACCUAUCACCUUCCCAUUUGUAUCACAAUAAACCUGUUUUGGCCCUGGUCCUGCUUGGACAUUAUGCACUUUGACUUAGGCAAAUAGCCUAAGUUGAGGGUGGAUACCAUAGGAUUUCAUGAUGUAAAAUGAGUAUGAAGAAAGGUAGAAUAAAAAAUAAUAAUAAAAAGCUGGGUGUGGUGGAAAAAGAAUAAGCAAAGAAAAGUUGUGAAAAAAAAAUGAUUAUCAAAAAGACCGCAGCCAUUCGGAGUAUGUGUGAUCAAGAAAGGAGAGAAUUAGGUAAAGGUAAAUAAAUGAUACCCCAAAAUUUAGUGUAGUUCCAAAGAGGCUUAGUCACCUUAAAUAUCAUCGAGUAUCAUACCAGUCCUUAGCCUACGUUACAAGUCGAAGAAAAAGACCUAUAGCGAUCCUAGCUUACCUGUUUGAAAAUCUUGGUAAUGAAAAUAAGGGCAAGCUUAUGGUAUUUGGCAUACAUUGACUGGAACUUCUUUUUGAGAGUGAGUGUCUAUUGAUUGUCCCCACGAUUACAUAUGUUAUUUCUUAUAUGAGUAAGAAGGGACUUCUUUGUUGUAAGGGAACACUGGUUAUGUUGCUAGUUGCUAACUUGUUUGGGUAGUGUAAUAUUGAUACAUGCAUGAUUGUUGUUGCUAAGUUUAUGUCAUAGCUUGAUUCCUUUGUGUUGCAUUGUUGCUUUUCAGUAAUAUACACAGUUGAGUUUGGAGAUGGCAAAUAUGUUUUGAACUAAAAUUGAUGAUCAACUGUCAUAGGUAUCUUAUGUGUCUCUUGGUUAAGCAUCGUAGUAUUGUGUUUUAGUUGCAUGAGGACAAGCAAUUGUUUUAAGUUGAGGGUGUUGAUGUGUGAGCAGAUGCUAACACAUUUGAGGCUUUUAACUGAGAAUAAUUGCAAGGUCUUAAGCAACUUUGUUGUUUUUUAUUAUUUUUUGUUUGAUUUUAUAGGAAAGUCAAUAUGCAUGAAAAUAUAUGAAAGCUAUGUCAAGAAGGAUGAUUUUUGGUGAAAAUAGUUAAAUUUUGAAGAUAUCACCUGUAGACAUGCCUGACGACAUGUCUAAUAAGUUAUCAGAUUUCUAAUAAGCUAUCACACAUGUCGUCACCCUGAAGCAGAGGAUGAGAAAUUGGAAUCAUUUUUUAUGACAAGUCUGAUAAAUUAUUAGACUUGUGAUAAGUCGUCACACAGGUCGUUACAAUGAGACAAAAGAAAAGAAAUUGGAAGCAUGUCUGAUGAUAUGUGUGAUAACUUAUCACAAAUCUGAUAAGUUAUCAGACAUGUCAUCACAUUGAAGCAGAGGAUCUAACAACAAGUCUAAUAACUUAUCAGAUUUGUGAUAAGUUAUCACACAAGUCGUCACCAAAAAGGAAAAUUAUAAAUUUUUUAUUUCAAUUUUUUCUUAAGUUACGGGUAUAAAUAGCAACUUUUAGGGCUCAUUCAAGGUGGCCGCAUCAUCUUGGACAUCUUGAAACAAUUGGAACUCAUUCCAAAGGCCAUUUUACCUUGUUUUGGUCUCUUAACUUAGAAUUCAGUUUUCAAUUCUUUGAUUUAGUUGUGGGAUAUUCUUCUUGAAUUUUGGAAGAUAAUCAAUUUUUGACUACAUCUUUUGUAAGUUUAAUUACUUUGAAUGAUGAAUAUAAUUGUUGCUAUCUCUUUUUUUCUCAUGUGGAACUAAAAUCCACAACUAGGGUUGUGGGAUCUGUGAUUAUUCCUCCAUGGAUUUAAAAUUUGAUUAGGGUACGAGUGAUUAUGGGAACAUCUUGAUAAUUCUUUUGUAUUAAUUAUUUUUUAUUGGUUGCAAACAAUAGGCCUUGCUUACUGUUGAUUUGCUUGAGAUAAGAAAUCAACCCUAGUAAGAAGUGAAUUAUCAAUGAGGAUUUGGGAAGGUUAAGUUCUCAUCUAAUGAUUAAUAAUGUAACAAGAUUGACCAACUCGAGAUAAAAUCAGUAUGAAUAGAAUGCUUUCCUAAGUUUGAGAGAAAUAGGGAGUUCAACAUCUAGGUAGGUUGAGAAAUACUUAGAUGGACUAUCGAAACUGAUAAAUUGGUGUUUUUCAUAAGUCACGAGAAUCCAAUACUACAACUGUUAUUCAAUGGAGGAUUAAUAAUCAUAGUGUGCACAACUCUAGUUUCUCUAUAUCAUUGUUUUGAAAUAUUGCAGCUUAAGAUUUGAGUUCUAAGGCGAAUUGAAGUGUUAAUAACUUUUGUUCAAUCAUUAAAAACCCUUAUUUUGUUUUUUCGUGCCAGUUGUUUGAACUUAACUUGUAGCUUUAGUUUCAAACGAGUUUAAUCGCCACUCACAUUAUUCCUUGUGGAUUCGACCUCAACUCCAAAGUUGGGUAAAUAUAUUGACGACGACCGCCUUAUACUAAAUUGACUUGUAAGUUGAGCGUUAUCAGUUACAAAUCUUUCAUUUGUAUGUUUAUGCUUUGCUAGAUCUAGGGGCUUCUUUGUUUUUUUGUUACUCCUUAUAUAACAGUUGAUUUUGGAGUCAGUCCUGAAAUUCUAGUAGUGCCCUUCUCAGUCUCUACCCCAGUGGGUAAAACCAUCAUAGCCCAGUGGGUAUACAGGAACUAUCCGGUUAUGAUAUUUUAGAAAGUCACAUCAGCAGACUUAGCUGAAUUAGAGAUGACUAAUUUUGACAGCAUUCUCAGCAUUAAUUAUCUUUAUUCCUGCUAUGCCAUAGUCGAUUGCAGAAAUGGAGUGGUCUAUUUUCUAUUUCCGAAUAAACCUGUCCUAGAGUGAAGGGUAGUACUUCAGCGUUCAAAGGCCAGCUUGUUUCCUACCUUUAGGGACAGAAAAUAAUAUCUAAGGGAUAUGUCUAUCAUCUUAUUUGAGUUAAGGAUACUAGUUCUGAAACUCCCAGUCUUGAAUCAGUCCUAGUAGUGAAUGAAUAUUCAGAUGUCUUUCCUAAAGAUCUUUCAAGAAUUUCUCCCAAAAGGGGCAUAGACUUCGGCAUUGAUCUUCUUCCAGAUACUCAACCUAUAUCUAUUUCUCUAUAUAGAAUGGCACUAGCAGAACUUAGAGAAUUGAAAGAGCAGUUAAAGGAUCUCCUAGACAAGGGAUUUAUCAAACCCAGUGUGUCCCCGUGGGGUGCACCAGUCUUAUUCAUGUGGAAGAAAGAUGGUUCUAUCAGGAUGUGUAUAGACUAUCGUUAGCUCAAUAAAGUCAUGGUCAAGAACAAGUAUCCACUUCCCAGAAUUGAUGACUUAUUUGACCAACUUCAGAUUGCUAGUUACUUCUCCAAGAUAGACCUCAGAUCAGGCUAUCAUCAGCUCAGAGUCAGAGAAUGUGACAUUUCAAAAACAACUUUCUAAACUCGGUAUGGUCACUUCGAAUUCUUAGUCAUGUACUUUGGUCUUAGCAAUGCCCAAGCAGCUUUUAUGGACUUGAUGAACCGUGUGUUCAAGCAGUACUUAGACAUGUUUGUCAUAGUUUUCAUGGAUGAUAUUCUUGUCUAUUUCCAUAGCGAGAAAUAUCAUGUUGACCAUCUCAGAAUAGUGUUACAGACUAUCAAAAAUCAUCAGUUGUUCAUUAAAUUCAGUAAAUACAAAUUUUGGCUAAGGUUAGUAGCAUUCCUUGGUCAUAUCAUUUUUGGUGAUGGCGUUAGAGUUGAUCAUCAAAAGACCGAAGCAGUAAGAAACUGGCCUCGCCCUGUAUCUCCAUCAUAUAUCAGGAGUUUUUGAGGGAUUUUCUUCAAUUGCAUCCUCUAUGUCCAUAUUGACUCAGAAGAAAGUCAAGUUUCAGUGGUCAGAUCCUUACGAGAAGAGUUUUUAGGAGUUGAAGACUCAACUCACCUCAACUCCAGUUUUGGAUCUUCCAGAUGGUUUAGAUAGGUUCGCAGUGUUAUGUAAUGCAUCGAGAGUAGGUUUAGGUUAUAUCCUCAUGCAGCAUGGUAAGGUCAUAGACUACGCCUCUAGACAACUUAAACUCUAUGAGAAGAAUUAUCUUACUCAUGACCUUAAGUUAGCAGCCAUAGUUUUUGCCUUGAAGAUUUGGAGGCAUUACUAGUAUGAUGUUCAUGUAGAAAUAUUCACAGAUCAUAAGAGCCUUCAGUAUAUUUUUCUCAGAAAGAUCUUAAUCUCCAUCAGAAAAGGUGGUUAGAGCUCUUGAAAGAUUAUGACAUGAGUAUCUUUUAUCAUUCGGGAAAGGUCAAUGUAGUGGCCGACCCUCUCAGUAGACUGUCUAUGGGUAGUGUUGCUCAUGUUAAGGACACUAAGAAGAAGUUAGCUCAGGAAGUCUAUCAUCUUUCUAGACUAGGUCUCCGAUUAGUCGAUUCAGCAGAAGGUAGUAUAUAGGUUCAGAACAGAUCUGAAUCAUCUCUAGUAUCCGAGGUGAAAGAAAAGCAAGAUAGAGAUCUCAGUCUUGUUAUGUUGAAAGAGUCGACCAGAGAUCAGAAAGUAGAGGUUUUCUCCCAAGGAGGAGAUGGUGUUUUGCGUUAUCAGGGUCAUCUGUGUGUUCUUGGUGUAGAUGACUUGAGGCAAUAAAUUCUUGCAGAAGCAAAUAGUGCGUACUACUCUAUUCAUCCGGGGGCCACUAAGAUGUACCGUAACUUGUGGGGGAUCUAUUGGUGGAGUGGGAUGAAGAGAGAUAUUGCAAAUUUUGUAGCUAAGUGCUCUACAUGUCAUCAGGUUAAGAUAGAGCAUCAAAAGUCUAGUGGGUCCAUCAGGAGUUCAAUAUUCCUACUUAGAAGUGGGAAAAUGUGAACAUGGACUUUGUGAUGGGUUUGUCUCGUACAAGUUGUCAGCAUGAUUCGGUCUGGGUCAUUGUAGAUAGAAUCACCAAAUUAACUCAUUUUCUUCCAGUCUAUACCUCCUAUUCAGCCGAGGAUUAUGCCAAACUCUAUAUCAGGGAGUUGGUCAGAUUGCACGGUGUUCCGUUAUCCAUUAUUUCAGAUAGAGGUACCCAGACUCGUAGACUGGGGAACAAAAAGGUCCCCCUAGUCAAAGUUCUUUGGCGGAAUCAGUCCGUUGAGGGAGCUACUUGGGAAGCAGAAGCAGACAUGCGGACCAAGUAUCCUCACCUUUUCUUUGCAAACUCAAACUCAACCCAAGGUAAUAGCUUUCCUCAAGCUUAUUCAGUUUCAUGCUCAAAUUUCAGUUAUAAACUGUGUAUCAAAUACCUUUGCAUAUCCAGUCAUAUGUUCAUGUAUCAUGUCAGUCAUGUAUUCAUGCAUCACAUAUGCAUUCUCAUUAUGAGAAACUCAGCUUCUCAGUAAUUUCAGCCAUGCAUUUAUGAAGACUAUCUGUCACAUAUCCAUGUAUCAAACAUGCAUAUUCAGUAUGAGAUUUUAGUAUAUCAGAAGUUUCAGUCACAUAGAUAUGCUCAAAUAUUCACGUCUCUUAAGUAAGAUCAGUCUAUCAGCUUUCCCAGUCUAGUCAUUCUUAUUAGAGGACGAAUGUUCCUAAGGGGGAGAUAUUAUAAUACCCCAAACUUUCAUUAAGUAAAAUCUAGUCUCUAGAAAAGUUAGUGAUGACUUUCUAAAUGAUUAAUGUUUGAAUCAGAUAGAAUUUCCCCAGUUUUGACUUUUUAUCAUGUGGGAAAUGGAAUUAGCUUUCCAACGAUACCAAUUUCGUCCAAAUUUGGUAUCGAAAUAAAAAGUUAUGGACGUUUUAUAGAGAACUGUCGGAACUGACCAGAAGCGACGGUCAGGCCGACGGACCGUCGACCUAGUGACGGACCGUCUCCCAAGUCGUUGCGACUAAGCCAGUGAACCCGACUUCUGGUCAAGUGUGACGGUCAGGACCGACGGACCAUCGUGCCAGCGAUGGACCAUCGCUAAAACCAUCGUAGAUGAGGCAAAAAGUUUAGGUUUCGGCCAAGUGCGAUGGUCAGGACUUACGGACCGUCGAGCCAGUGAUAGACCAUCACCCAAACCGUCGCCCCUUUCGAUCAACGAUUUUAAGCUAUUUUUAAAAGGGUAUUUAGGUCUUUUUCAGCCAGUUUUAACCCCCUAACUAUACCAGACCAGAGCUCAUAACUUCUUCAUUCAUCUACAAUACCAAAUUAGGGUUUCUCUCAAAGAUCAAUCCCUAAGAACAAGAAACCCUAGGUUUUUAAUCCCAAGUCAAGAAUUUAAGCUUUACUUCACCAAUCUUCAAGAAAUCAUCCACCCAGGUAUGUAAAGUAUUGAUUCAUGGGUUUCUUUCACCCAUGAAGCUCAAGAAUCCAAUUUUAAACUUAUGAAUUAUGAUUUCCAUGUGGCGGGUUGAUUUUAAUUAUGCUGGUGUGGUUGUAUGAAUCCCAAGUUGGAGUCUUUAUGUACUUUUCAUGAAAUUAUGCUAGUAUGUGUGUUGGAAACUUUUAAAUUGAGUUGAUUAAAGUAAUCAUGAUGUAUGAACCAGUGUAUACGCCUAAGCCUAAGGUUAUGCAUGCAAUGUGUUUGAUAAAAUGACCAAAAGAACAAGAAUCAUGCGUUAGGACUUAAUUAUAACCUAACUGAUAAACCCGUGCUUUACCCUUAUGUUCAAGAUGACUUUCAUGUUAUUGUUAUGCAUUGAAAUUGUUUGAUGGAUUGUUCAUCAGAUUAGCCCUAUAAAAUUAUGACAUGUUUAUAUGCAUUCCUAUUCAUGUACCAAACCAUGAUAAUCAAGAACCUCAUAAAAUUCCCCAAUGAUUGUAUUAUGGAUUGUUGAUUAUGGUCGUGAGUCCAGGAAGUGUCAUGUCUUGUCAGUUUCAUGCUAUCGAGUCCUAAGGGUACUUGUACCCAAUAAUUUAGCUAUGUGCCUAGAGCCAGUGUCAGUUUUCAAGAUACUCUCAGUCAAGCCAUGCUCAGUAGAAUUCAGUCAGACUCAUGAUUCUGAAAAACUCAGAAAUCCCAGUAAUCUCAAAAAUCUCAGUAACUUAAUAAUCUCAGUAGUAUUCCGUCAAUCAAUGGAACUCACUAAGCCCAGCCCAGUUCAAUUCAGUUAAUCUUGUUUCAUUCUCUAUUCAGAUGGGAGUAGGAAUUAGCACCGAGUGAACCCAAGGAUAAGGGCACACACUGACAGUUGAGGGUGUGAUCCUUAGAAGCAAUCCUUGCAUUCCAGAACUUUGUACCCAGCAUAGGUUGAGACAUCAACACUGACAGAUAAGGGUUGAUAUGGUGGAUUAACCUGUCAGAUGAGGGUCCCACCGUUCUCUUUUAGGGUCACUGUCAGAUAAGGGUCACCCACAACUUGUCCUUACCAGUGGCACGGUAUUGACACCCUUUUAAUUGAGGUUACAAAUUGGAACCCAACUCAGCUAUAAUAUCUUAUUUGGGGAAUUUCGGUUAGAUAACUACUUCCCACAGUUACAAUCUCAGUAAUAGAACUUAGAUAGUUCUACAGAAUUCAGGACUGUCGAAUGCAGUCACCAGUUUAGUACAGAACUCAGCUAGUUUCAUCAGAAAUAGGAUUGUCUGACAUAGUCAUUCAGAUAAUAGUAUAUCAGUUAUAAGAAAUUUAUGUUAUUAGUAUUCAUAUUUAGUAAUGUCAUGAUCUCAGUCACAGUUCACGUAUUCAUGCAUGUAUUCUCACGUUUAUGUUAUUCAGUCAGUUAGUAUUGCUCAUGCAUAUAAACCCCUUGUAUUCAUCCUACCUCACUUGCAUACCAGUACAUUCAAUUGUACUGAUGCAUUUGCACUAUAGUGUUUUAUAUCAUAGGUUCAGAAGCACGAGCUCUAGAGCAUCCUUAGUAGAUCAGACAUUCAGUAGCCAGACUAGCAGUGAGUCCUCAUUAUUCGAGGAUAGCAAGAUUAUUUUAUUACUUUAUUAUUUUAGUAGUCCAGAGUUAGUUAGGGACAUGUCCCAUCAACUCCAUAAUUUUUAGACAGUUUAAAGGCUUUCAGACUAGCAUGUUCAGAUAGUUAUGUCAGUUUUAGUAUAGUGAUACCAUUUUAUUCAGAUGUUAUGUGUUAUCAGAUAUUUGAACCUUAUGGUCUUACAGUCUUUUAUUCCACAUUUAUACAGUAUGUUAUGCAAUGCUCAGUACAGAUAUCAGUCAUGGGUUAACUUAUGGUCCUUCGGGGUCAUGAGCAUCGUGUGGCAUUCCGAUUAUCCGAUUUGGGGCGUUACAAAAACUAAGAUAAUGUUAUAAAAUAACAAAUAAUAAAGAAGAAGAGUAGAGAGAAAAUAGGGAGUAACGCUUAUUUUUCUUAAGGAUGAUUUACAAUGAAGAAAAACCCUUCUAUUUAUACGAAAAAUUUACUCCUAGUUUCUCACUAAAAGACAGAUACUUCAAAUCAUGAUAGAUAUCAACUAGAUCUUGAUAGAUCUUAUCUAUAUUCUUGAUAGACAUUCACUAUAAUGUAAAUACAUUAUAACACUCCCCCUUGAAUGUGUAAUUGAUAGAUAAUGUGCCUCGUUAAAACCUUACUAGAAAAAACUCAGUGGAAAAAAUCUAGUAAAAAAAAGAGUACACAUCUCUAACAAUAUGCAUAUAGGCUGCCUCAUUAAAGACCUUACAAGGAAAACCAAAGACCUUACAAGAAAAACCUAGUGGGGCAAAACCUUGAAAAGAAAAAAGAGUACAAUGUGUAUUAACUCCCCCUAAUGAGAACAUUCUUGAAUCUUUGCAUCUCCCGAUCUUUUGCACCAUCUUCUUGAAAGUUGUAGUUAGGAGAGACUUGGUGAAUAAAUUAGCUACAUUGUCACUUGAACGAAUCUGUUGUACAUUAAUAUCACCAUUCUUUUGGAGCUCAUGUGUAUAGAAGAGCUUUGGCGAAAUGUACUUUGUUCUAUCUUAUUUUAUGAAUACUCCUAAAGUUAUGCUAUGCAUGCUGCAUUAUCUUCAUAUAAAAUCGUGGGUACUUUGUCACAUUUCAAACCAUAUUUUUCUCGAAUGAUAUGUAUUAUGGACCUCAACCACACACACUUCCAACAUACUUCAUGAAUAGCUAUAAUCUCAGCAUGGUUCGAUGAAGUGGCUAGAUAAACUGCUUUGUAUAUCUCCAAGAUAUGACAGUAUCCUCACAUGUGAACACAUUGCAUGUUUGAGACCAAAUUUAUGCGGCUUAAAUAAAUAUCCAACAUCAACAUAAUUAAUAAGACCAAGACCACAGUUCUUAGAAUAAAAUAAUAUCAUGUGUUUGAUCACAUUCUGAUAUCUCCUAGUAGGAGCAAAAUUAUAUCUUGCUAAAAAAUUAACCGAAAAGACUAUAGUACUUGCAAGAUACAUGAGUGCACCAAUUGCAGUAAGUAUGAAACUUCAUAACCAAUUCAAAUUGAUAUAUUUCUCAUUUCAGCAAAUAAUCUAUUGCUUUUGAAAACUCUCUAAGAGUAUUAAUAAUAUUCAAACCAUCAAUUUAUCUCUUAUAAGGAUAAUAAACAAGUUUCCCACAAACUUUAUAUGCUUCAGGAAUUUUAAACCCUUUAGGGAUUUUCAUAUAGAUUUUUUUCAACUGACAAUAUCAAUAUGUGUGACAUCUUCAAAUGUGUCGUCUGCAAAUCAAAUAAGUGUUAUGCUUAUUAAGAUGCAUCCUUUCAUGUCACUUAAUGAAUGUUUCUACAUUAGCAUGCUUAAAUUAACGUAGAAUUCAGAUCCUCUAAUCUUUUAUAAUAUUGCACCUUUAUUGUAUUAAAGAUAUCAUCGAUGGUUUCUCAUUUUCUAUCGGUUCACAAUGUAACAUAACAUUUUGAUAUUUCAUCACUUCAUUAUUUUUAGGUACCUGAACCUGUCAUAAGGUUUCAUGAAGUGUUAUGUUGUAGGCUUUUUAAGAGCAUAUUACCUUCUUAUUAUGAUUAUUUUCUCCUUAGUUUUCAAGGAUUAUUUCUUUUGGAAUCGAUUAGUCUACCAUGCUUCAUGCAUAUGUAGACUUUGUCCUUUAAGAACACAAAAUAGGAGCAUUUAUAGCUUAAACAUGAUACUAAAUUUAAGUCAAUAGAUGCUUCCGGCAUUUCACUUGAAUUAUCUUUUUAAUGAGAAUCUGAUGAUAAUUCCUAAUAUAUUUCAUAGCUACUUAUAAUCUCCCCCUUAUGUUAGGAAAACUAACAUUCAUCCUCCAUCUUCUUUGAGGAAUCCAUCUUUGUGCAUCAUGGUAUAUUCAUUAAUUGUAUAUCGCACAUCAAAACUAUUAGAGGGAAUAGUUGGUUCCUGACCUUAAACCAAUUGAGAGGAAAAAAAUAAUCAUAAUUUAUUUAUCUAAUGCAUACAAGUGCUAUUGCAUGCAACAUAUCAUAUUUUAGACCAACACAUAAAGUUUUGUUCUCAUUAGCAAUGAUUUAUCGAUUUAUCAAAGACAUUCAAUGCCAAACCAUCAUCAUCAAGAUGAAUUGUCUUGAUUACACAAUCUGAAAGUUAUUCUCUUAACUCAAUUUUAUUGAGUAAGCAACUUUAUGAAUGUCAAACUAUAUGUUGACAAUAAACGUACAAGUGAUCAUAUUAUAUAAUGCAUCUUAAUGGAUCACAUAACUGGUGAACAAACGCAUAUGCACCUUUUACAUUUUUCAGAUUUUAAGGGAUCAAAUCCCAAUAUUAGUUGGUCCAAUCAACUUAUCAUGAGAACAAACAACAUUAAAAGUUCAUGAAGAAUUUUCUAAUUCUUCAAUAAAUGUUUAAUACAAACUAUGCACAUUUUUGGGAUGUCGUAAUCGUUCAUGUCAAUUUAUGAACUUUUAUACUAGUAAACUCCAAGUUUACCAUGACAUGUUCUUUUUUCUUUAAUAAAUUUCAAAUUUACUAUUACAUGAAUGAAUUUUAGAUUUACUACUUUAGAAGUAAAUUUCAAAAUAACUCUUCUCAAUUAUUCUGCCUCUUUCGGAGGUGAGUUGUGAUACCAUCACAAUCAAGUGCGUGUUUGUAUUAAUAAGCUUUACUAAAUAUUGUCGCACUCACUUUAAAGAAUGGAUCUGUACUUAUAACAAUUGAAAUUCUUGUUCCCUAGGAAUGGAAUAUAGUCGUUCCUUAAUCCUAUCAAAUUAUGAUAGUUUAGAACCUCUUUCAAGAUACUGCUACUACAAGAGAAAAUCGAGGCAUACAUAUGAUGUAUUGAUACCACAUUCACUUCGGAAAAUGAAACAUGUUCAAUGAGACAAAUUUCAUGUCUUUCGUCAAAAACAUAUUGGUUUACCUUAUCCAUCAUUAUAUCAUUAAUAUGGAUUCAAACUCAACGUCUUAUCCAUAUAAAGGCGUCUUAGGCAUAAAUCAAAGGGCUUAAACCCAACAUCUUCAUCGUAGUGCAUCGAGACACUAACCCGAUGUCUUACUCUUUUGUGAGUGCAAUAAAACUUAAAUCCAUCGUUUUAUCCUCAACCAGUGCAUUAGAACUUAAGCCUGAGCCUUUCAUAAAUAUUGUGACCAAUCUUAAUUAUAGUCACAAAUAAAACUUUGAUCAUAAUAUCACCUUAAUGUUAUCAUAUAUAAAUCCCAAUUUCUCAGCUAAUCAUUCACAGUGUUAAUAAAAAUUAAAAUGGAUAACCAUUAAUGUGUUAUAAAUAUAAAAGAAUUGACACUUUAUUUUUAUAUAUAAAUAAUUAGUUAGUGUGGCAAGUGGCAGCAAAGCUAUAGAAAAUUUUGUGUUGUUCCCCUUUUUUUCAUAAUUGCUAUCCAACUGAUCCAAUACAUGAAACAUAUUACUUGGAUUAGAACCGUUAGUUAUUGGAUCAAAAAUAUUGGACAACUAUGGCUCAGCUAGCUAAAACUGCAUGCUGAUAAUGUGUUAUAAAAUAACAAAGAAUAAAGAAGAAGAGUAGAGAGAGAAUAGAAAGUAAUUCUUAUUUCUUUUGAGAAUGAUUUAUAAUGAAGAAAACCCUUCUAUUUAUAGGAAAAAUUUACUUCUAGUUUCUCAUUAAAAGACAGAUACUUCAAAUCCUGAUAGAUAUGUACUAGAUCUUGAUAGAUUUUAUCUAUAUUCUUGAUAGACAUUCACUAUAAUGUAAAUACAUUUAUAACAGAUAAAAUAAAAUGACAACAUCUUAGGAAAUUUAUCUUAGAUUAAUAGAGUUACAAUGUUAGUUAGUACAAAUAUACAAAAAUAAAUUAUAAAUCACAAAAAUAAUACAAGAAUUGAGGUUGGGCCCUUAAUUGGCCCAUCAAUAAAGCUGCCCAGAACUUGGGCUUUGAAUUAUGAACUUCAGUCCAUAAUUAUCCAUAUAUAUCAACUGUAUAUCACAACUUUGCUUUGCUGCAUUUUUCUAUAUAUUUGCUGUAUACCCACAUAUAAAACCCCGUAUACUUGAUCCCACCUAUGUCAUACGUCGUAUCUUGGCUUAUACCAGCCACCUCUAACCUGGAGAACCCAUAUAUCCGCUGUAUACUAUGUAUACCAAUAACUAUUUCUUCAUGUUAAUCUUUUUGAGGACUUGGUCCCGGAGAGGUGUAGGAAUGUAAAGUUCAAUUGGACUCGGAUGAAUUCACAUACAUCAAAUAAAAGAUAAGGAUUAACAAGUGUCUACUUAUAAUAAAACGAGCAAAAUACUAUAUCAAAUGUCAACUUGAACAAACUAUAAUAAUCACGCACUUAAGGUAUAGAUCAUAUAUAAUUUAAAUCAUCUAUAAGUCGCAACAAUACAACACAACCUAAACUACCCAUAACCAACUUAAACUUCAAAAUCUUAAACCAAUACUCCUACCUUCUUACCUAUAACCUGCAACCCCUGUAUAUACCAAAAACAUACGCACGAUAGGAAAAAGAAGCAAAUUAACAACAAUUAUUACUACCUAGAUAUUUACUUCCUCACAACCAAAACAUACCAUAAUACUAAUAGAAACAAAGAAGCAAAUCCACUAUGUAUACUCCGUCAUGAUCCCAACAACACAAAACAACCACAUACUUCCUCACAAUCCCUUUCCAGCUACCAAAUUCCCUCACGCCCCUUUAUAGGUUUCUCAAAGAUUUCAAGUUAUUAGAUCUAACUACUCAUUCAAUAAGUUCAUCUUUCGUGAAUCGAAACAUUAGAAUUUUCCAACAGCGACUAUAACUAAAAAAAAUGAGCAAAUCCCAAACUUGCGAAGUAAAAACUAGCUAGAACAUGACUUAAAACAUCAAAGUUAAAAAGGUGUCAAAGUGCAGACAAGUUAACAAUACAAUCACAAAAAAAUUGACAUUAGCGCGAAAUAAGACGGAAUGAACACAAUCAGGUAUGCCUUAAAGCCAUUAUGAAGAUUAAAAAAAGACAAUUGUUAAAGUGAUAAAGAUAUUAUUUUUUGACAUUAAAUGUAAGUAUAGAAACCAUGAUAGUUUACUAAGAACCUUUACGCCAAAUAGAAUAAGAUAGCGAAGAAUUAAAUGUUGUUUUAUGGUCUUGACUAGGGACUAGCAAAAUUGAAAGCAUGUAAGCAUAUACUUCAAUUCUAAUACUGAUUUUCAAGAGGAAAAAGAGCAAUUCAAAGAACAAGUUUGUAACACCCCGAAAAUCUGUAAAACACAAUACUGAUACCACUUUUACAUUCUAAUAAAAGUCUAAAGAGAGGACUGAAAUUACAAUACUGACUCUAACUGACAUCUGUGAAGUCUUUACUAUACUGACUAUAAAUAGUUGGGAAGCUACUCUAACUAUCGCUAAUCAAUACAUAUGACUAAGAAAAGACACAACAUAAAUAAAUCCAACUGAAGUCCUUAAAGUAGGACUCAUCACCUUGCUGGCUGGAAUAUGCAACUGUCGGAGUCUGAAUGUGCCUACUAGAUCUUGUACCAACAUGAUGAGACAAUGUAAUACAUAGACAUAUAUGUGGAUCAGAACUUUGAGGAUGUACUGAGUAUAUGGGAGCGUAUGCAUUAAGUCAACAAUAUCAUUACUUUUUAUAAAACCAAGUAUGCUGAUAUAAAUGACUCACAUAGCUUGAAUAAAUCUGAAAUUUAAAUCUCAUAAAUCAUGAAUAAUGAAACAUGUAGCAUAAAUCUUGUGAGUCAUUAUACUUAGUUUAAAAAUUUGUAUUCUCCUCUUAUUCUCAAAGUUUGUAAGCAAAAAGGAAUCUUAAAACAAUAACUUUCAAAACUUAUGCUUUUAUCUUGAGGAGGAUAGGACUUUGGAAACACAAGGACUUGGGAACACAAGGACUAUAAAACUUUGGAGACUUGGAGAUUCUGGGAACUUGGGAAAUCUUAAAACAAUAGCUUUCAAAACAUAUACAUUCAUCUUAAGGAGAAUAGGGGACUUCUUUUGAAACUUAGGGAUUGUAGAACUUUGGGAGUUUCUUCUAACCAACAUAAACCAUGUGAGCUGACAUGGAGUCCAACGUCUUGCCCACGUUGGGGAGAAUUGUUCUACCCUUGCCAUCAGAAUAGAACCUUAACUUUAGUGAUCACAAUCUUAGCCCACUAUGGGCAAAUCAGAAACGUAAGGUGGCACGUAGUUCUGGGCAUGAGACCUUGGAAUCAUACCCAACUCGGUGCUAAAUACUACUCCCAUACUUAGGCUUAGAACUUUUAGGAAAUUCACCUUAAAACAGCACAAGGGUUUAUAAAGAAAAUCAAUUAUGCUUAUCUUUGUUUUAAAUCAUAAACUGUAUGAAUAAUGUGGAUUCCUAUCUUAGCUUGGUUCAAAGGAUCAACUUUCUAUAUCAAAAUCUAAAGAUAGCUAAUCAUGGGAUGCUUAAAUCAUGAUCAUUCUUGAAGUUUCAACAUACUAACUAGAGCUAAAUGACCCAUGCUUCAAUUUCAUAUCAAACACCACAAGGCACAUGCGUUAUAACACAAUUAUUCAUAAUUCAACUUAAAUUCUGGAAAAAUAUGAUCAUGUGCAUAAAUAUUCGAAAGUAGACAUGUAAAUCAAUAUCCAAACCAGUUAAAAUCUCAAAAUCAUGCAAUUAGCAACAUGGGGUAUAAACCCUAACUUUAAUUUCAUGGAAAUCAUAUCAAAAUUAAGAAAUUUGUAACUUAAAAUAAGCUUUUGAGCACAAGAACGAAAGAAUUGUUCUUGUUCAAACCCCACAUACCUUAUUUGGCUUGAUUCAAUGGAACAAGUUGACUUUUAAAGCCUUGAAAAUGUUCUUGGAGGCUUUUCUUGAAGGUUCUUGAAUGGUGAUGUUUUGAUUCUUAAAUUUUCUUGAAGAAGAGUUUGAACCUUGUUCUUGAGGGUUGAUCUUGAAAGGAACCCUAGUUUUGAUGCAAUGGGUGAAUAUGAAGUUAUGUUCUUUGAUUUGAUGUAAUUAGGUGUUUAAAAGGGUGGAAAAGACCCAAAAACCCCUUAAAAUGGCUUUUAGUCGCAAAACGGAGGUGCGGGACGAUUUGGGCGACGACCCCUUGCCCCAGGGACGGACCGUCCCUCAAACCAUCGCUUUAUGGCCAGAAAACGGGCUUACUGCCUCAGUUGCAACGAUUUGGGCGACGGUUCGUCGCAGGCGUGACAGUUCGUCGGCCUUCCCAUCGCACUUUGGCAGUCCGGAUAGCUUACUGUAAAACGGAUAUAACUUUUUACCCCGAAAACGGAUUUUGGCAAAAUUAGUAUCGUUGGAAAGAUAAUUCAAUCAUCUAACUGUUGGUGUGUCAUGAGCUCAGAAAUUCAUAGUAUAACGAAAGAUAUUCUCGUUUGAAGUUGACUGUACCAAUAUCCUUCUCAAGAAUUCAAUCGGUAAGAGAUAGGACAUAUUUGAGGCCUUAAUACACAUCAAACUUUAUCAUAAAACUACCAAAUCACUAAAAUUUAUUUCUCAUGAGUUUGAAGCAUGGUUCUACUAUCAGUUGGAAUUCUCGAGGUAUUACAAUAUCUCCCCCUUGGGAACAUUCGUCCUCGAAUGAAGUUGGCUAGCAGAGAAAACGGAGGAUGCACAGCUGAAAUAAAUUACAAAAAUGAUUCUACAUUAUUCUAAUCCUUUGAGUACUUCUGGGAAUGCAUGAACUUAUAAUAAGAAUAGCUAUAUAGCUGAAUAUUUGAUUAGAAGAGAACUGAAUUAAGGAAGACUACCACCUUCGGCUGGAUCUGAGUUCACGGAGAAGAGAUGAGAGGUUUAUGACAUUAAAACUCGGGGUAUUACAACACCCCCUCCUUAGGAUCAUUCAUUCCCAAAUGAUACUAAUUUGGUUGAAAUACUAGAAAAGACUAAGAUGAUAUAUAGGAUACUUACGGACUGAACCAUGACUUAAUAUCUAAAUCUGAAACUGAUGCAUGAUGCAUGUACUGAACUGAAUUUCGCAAUCUACUUGGAUGCGAACAAACUAUCUCUUGAAAUGGUCAUACUCACGAAAUUUUAGGUAGUGAGACUAGACUAAAUUAGAAUAUGUAAACUGAAUUUCUGGUUGCACGGACUGAAUCAUGCUGAAUGCUCUCCCCCAAAUAGGGUAUUUCUUCAACACCUUUCUAAUGAAAUUUCUAAGGCCAUUAGGGAGAAAGGGCAUGAUCUGAACAAGACCUCAGAAUAAGGAAUUACAACAUUGCUCCAAAUAUAGCAUGGAACAUAGACCUGUGAAUCAUAAGACGGGUUAGAAGUACUAGGCCUCAAGCAAUGCAACUUCUCACUUUAAAGCUUAGCCACACUUCUAAAAUACUCUCUCAACUAAACUUUCCCCUUAAACACCAUACUCAUUGACUCAACCUAUAAUCCUUACUUGGCCGUUGAGAAAUCCAUCUACCAAAGUCUAACUGAACCCAACUCUCUCGUUAUGGUCAAGCCUAACUCGAAAUCACAAGGUAUUACACAUAAUACCAUAACAUAACACCAGUCAGAAUCAUGAAUCCACACGCAUCUGCAUUUUUCACAACUUCUUUAUCUCCAGAAUAAUCCUCAUUACCACUCUAACAACUACAAUCCACCUAGUACUAGAUAUUCACUAACGCUCAAUGCAUCCCUCCGCAUGUAUACAAACAUGACAUUCAAGCCCAUCUUCAUAACCCUAUAUGCACUUCUAAACAAACGCUCAUAAAACAUCUUUUCCAUAUCCUACAAACCUCUAUCAAGAACAACUUCUAUGCACUAUUCUUAAGAAGACAUACAUAAAAUUUCAACUACUCACACAUAGCAUAUAAAAGUUUAACUAACCAUGACGUGUAUCAACGACUUGGCCUCAAUCCUACUUCACACUUAUAGCCUUAGCUAAAAUAAGCAUACAAUAAUCUUCCAUUAACAGGAAAUGUUUACUCUCUCCCAUCCAGACAAUUGUUUGUCAUCACUAUCUUGACCUAAGGAAAGGUAAUAAAAGGUUAGAACAUGAGGACCUGAAACAUGUAGGGAUACUGUGUAUACCGAUGCUUGAGGAAUAGAAUAUUUAACAUCAUGAACUCAUCAAAGAGGUCUGAUCUGAGGACAUGCAUGAUAUAAAUCUGAAUUUCGCUAAUCAUUAAAAGUAUUGCUUGAGUGCUUGAACUGAGCAUACUGUAAAACUUGAGUACAUGAGUCAUGAGCUGCAUGACCUAAAUUUGGAGUUCAUCACUUAUGAAAUGUGACUCCAACUGCUGAAAGAACUAGAACUCCUCAUUUUGGGAACUAGGAGGGUACAUGAUUCUCUAUCAUAUGCAUGAACAUAAACUAUGAUCAUGGAACAGAAGCACAAGGUAUGAGUAGGUAUUGGGAUAAUUGGAAAUAUUGAAAUAAGAAUGGGUCGGGCGUUAUCCUCUCUUAGGGUUUUCUACACUACACAAGCAUUUUAACAAAAAUCUGGAAGUCUGACUUGGUUACUCUUUCUGUCAUCUUCCCCUCAGACUUAAGUUAUCACUCUCAGUCUAUGAACUACUAUAUAAACUUUAAUCUAAUCCACAAUCACUUUAUUCUAGAGUCUGGGAUAAAAUCAAUACACAUAAAACUAAACUUACCCUGAAGGACUGUAUCUUCACGUAUAAUACUCAAUGCUAACACCUCCUUCUAAGAUUCAACUCUUAAAUUUCUAUAGCCCCAUAAGCCAUCAUAUAACAACUUAAACACUUGCCAACUUAGAUUCUAACACUAAACAUGGAUAUCUCUAAACCUUUGUUGAACUUCCCUCAUACUCUGCUAAUAUCACAUCUUUAACUUACCACAUCACCAACCUGUAACCUAUAAGUUAACUGACAAGAACACCAUAUACUAUACAACCUCAUUCAUACUUAUCAACUCAAGGGUAUUACCAAUCAUACACAAAACGUAAUAACCUUAAAAAGACAAAGCAACAUUAUAUUACCUUGAGCAUACAGUUGCACAUUAUACUUGCAACACCAUACUUAAUAACGAACAACUAAACUCAAACUCUUUCAUACAUGGUUUAAGCCUACAAGAUCACUCCCAUAUAAUUAGCCGCACUAACUAGGGAAUUAUUACACCCACCUUGGUAACUAUCCACUGUUCAAACUUAGUGUCUAGUGCCAAGCAUGAUUUGACAACUCACCUUACAUACAAUUCUUCCUCGAAAACUAUAAAAUAUAACAUCAAGAACACUAUUCCAUUAGAACUUCCGAGCAACAAUAAUCAAUCAAAAUCAUACGGCCUAUCUUAUCAUAAUCCAUUAACACAUCCUCCUUCUAAACCUCAUUACUAUUUACCCUUUUAUACAUCUGAAUUACUAUCAUAGCUCUAAAAGACUCAACUAAACACCCUCUUUGCCGCCUCAAGGGAAACCUAAAUUAAUACCACUAGACCACCAGACGCUUCAUUAAUAUCCUAUACUUUUCAGACACAAUAAAUACUAUCAAUAACUCUUCCCGUACUUCAAGCAACAACAAUUCACCUUACUAAUAACUCCGUCUCUACCUUCCACUAAACUAACACACAAGGACAUAUCAUCUUAACACAUCUUGAUAACAUGCAUAAGCUUACAUCUAUACUUCCUACCACUCGUCAUUCCUGCAUCUUAAUAACCCAACUCGAUGCUAAAUACUACUCCCAUACUUAGGCUCAGAACUUUUAGGAAAUUCACCUUAAAACAGCACAAGGGUUUAUAAAGAAACUAAUUAUGCUUAUCUUUGCUUUAAAUCAUAAACUGUAUGAAUAAUAUGGAUUCCUAUCUUAGCUUGGUUCAAAGGAUCAACUUUCUUUAUCAAAAUCUGAAAAUAGCUAAUCAUGGGAUGCUUAAAUCAUGAUCAUUCUUGAAGUUUCAACAUACUAACUAGAUCUUAAUGACUCAUGCUUCAAUUUCAUAUCAAACACCAUAAGGCUUAUGCUUUAUAACACAAUUAUUCAUAAUUCAACUUAAAAUUUGGAAAAAUAUGAUCAUGUGCAUAAAUAUUCGAAAGUAGACAUGUAACUCAAUAUCCAAACCACUUAAAAUCUUAUCAUGCAAUUAGCAACAUGGGGUAUAAACCCUAACUUUAAUUUCAAGGAAAUCAUAUCAAAAUUCAAAAAUUUGUAGCUUAAAGUAAGCUUUUGGGCACAAGAACGAAAGAAUUGUUCUUAUUCAAACCCCACACACCUUAUUUGGCUUGAUUCAAUGGAACAAGUUGACUUUUGAAGCCUUGAGAAUGUUCUUGGAGUCUUUUCUUGAAGGUUCUUGAAUGGUGAUGUUUUAAUUCUUGAAUUUUCUUGAAGAAGGAUUUGAACCUUGUUCUUGAGGGUUGAUCUUAAAAGGAAUCUUAAUUUUGAUGUUAUGGAUGAAUAUGAAGUUAUGUGCUUUGAUUUGAUAUAACUAGGUGUUAAAAAGGAUGAAAAAGACCCAAAAAUCCCUUUAAAAAUGACUUUUAAUUGCUAAACGGAGGUGCGGGACAGUUUGAACGAUGACCCGUCGCCCCAAGGACGGACCGUCCCUCAAACCAUCGCUUUAUGGCCAGAAACGGGCUUACUGCCUCAGUUGCGACGGUUUGGGCGACGGUCCGUCGGCCUUCCCGUCGCACUUUGGCAUGGUAGUCCGGAUAGCUCAGUGUAAAAUGACCAUAAAGUUUUACCCCGAUAACAAACUUUGGCGAAAUUGGUAUCGUUGGAAAGAUAAUUCAAUUAUCUAUCUGUUGGUAUGUCAUGAGCUCAGAAAUUCAUAGUAUAACGAAAGAUAUGCUCAUUUGAAGUUGAUUGUACCAAUAUCCUUCUCAAGAAUUCAAUCGGUAAGGGAUGUUUUGAUUCGCCUAAUAGCUAGGACAUAUUUGAGGCCUUAAUGCACAUCAAACUUGAUCAUAAAACUACCAAAUCACUAAAAUUUAUUUUGCAUGAGUUUGAAGCAUGGUUCUUCUAGCUGUUGGAAUUCUCGGGGUAUUAAAAUGUUACUCAUAAUCCACUAAAUAGUGCAUUCACCGAAUUCCAUACAUAUAAAGUAGACUUGUGUUAACAAAGUAAACUUUACUGAUUUAAAUAUUUGGUUGAGUGAACACAAAAAAUACAAUCAUGUUUGAAAAUUUCUUGACACAACCUACUGUCAUUCAAAUUCACAAUUUGUUUAUAUCAGUUUAAAAGAGCUGAAUCACCGAUAAUUGAAACAGUCUUUUAAGGAAUCAACUAACCUCGAAACAAGCAGAGUAAUUUUCAACUAAUCACAAAAUAAAAUUAGUCAUGAGAAAUCAAACGCGUAACCACAACUCGUCAAAAUAAAUUUUUUUUUAAAUCCUAAGUUUCUACAACACACAAUCCCACUAUUACACUACUUGCACGAAGAAGAAGAAAUAAUGAGGGAAUGUAAAAGAGAAUGAUGUGUUCACCUUUUUUUUAGCGGCGAACGGGGAUUACGAGCCUGUCACAUCGGAUUUUCUCCACCAAAAACUCGACUUGGACUUACCAGCGUUGAAUCGUUCUUGCAAAAAUUUAGACGAUUUCAAUAAAUUUCACCAUGAACUUCUUGGUUACGUGAGAUUAGAACAAUUCUCCUCCAAAAUCUCUAAUUUUCCCUAAAAAGUCCUCUCAUUUCACCCUUAUCCCUCACUAUCUAUUUAUAGGGGAAAGAAUUAGGGUUUUUCAAAUUUUAAAUCUGAAUUCAAGUUGAUUUUUGGGAGAAAUUUUGAAUUCCAUAGUGUGACAAAGAGGAGAGACGUUGGGCAUUAGUUACUUACCCAAAAUGGUGAAUCAUAAUUGAAAAAGACUAAAGUCGUCUAAUUUUUAGCCAUAGGUGGUUGUACCAAGAGGAUAAAUUGGUAAAUAGAGGGGAAUGACUAGGGGCAAACGUUGUAUUGUUGUUGUUUGUUGUAGUCCAAUUUUUGACCGUUGCACGUUGUUGACACUAUUGUUAAAGCCGAAUAUUGUUUCAUUAUUGAAGCUGUUGUACGCGCUGGGGGCUGUUAACAUUGUUUUGUUAAGGUUGUGUUUAUCUGAAAAAAGAGGGGUAGAUCAGGUAAGCAAAAGGGGAAAAGAGCAUGGGCUGGAUCGAGUUUUUUUAAAUUGGGCCUGGGUCGGCUAUGCUAUUGGUGAAGUGGGCCGAAGUUGCAGCCGAAGCAAAUGGGCCUAGGGUGGCCUGGUGUUGGGGUGAUUUAGGUUGCUAGUCAACCCAAAUUUUUAAACGUGAAAAUGGGGCUGGGGUGUUGGUUGUUAUUUAGUUUAAGGGAAGGGGGAGUUUGACCUGUUGCAGUUGACCCAAUUUUAAAAACAAAAAUGGGAAAGAGGGCUGUUUUGGGUUAAGGGAGUUAGAUUAAUUAGGAUGUAGGGCUAAUUUAUUUAAUAAAUAGACCUAAAGUAUAAUUUUAGUCAAGUUUAUUUAAAUUUAAUCAUAUUGAAAACUCAAUUGGUCAAUUGCAUUGCAAUUAUGGUCAAAUUGAUUUCAAUUAUAAUCAAAUUCAAUAAAUCGACUAAAAUUAAAAUAAAAUUCAAUACGAGUUAUUAAUCGAUUUAAUUUGGAGCUUCUUGGUUUAACAAAAUCAAACAAAUAUCUUUUCAAAAAUUAUUUUGACAACAAAAAAUAUAUGUAAAUCAAGACUUUCUCCAUUUAAAUCAAUUUUCAAGAUAAUCCUUGAUUAAAAUUUAAUUUUUCGUAAAUGGUUAUUUAAGUAACAAAAUUAUGCAAUCUCGUAAAUACAAAAAUAUAUAAUCACUACUUAAAAUGACAAAAUUAUGUACAUAAAUAUUUUAAAUAUCUUUAAUUCGGGUAAAAUAAAUGUUGUAAGUUUAUUUAACACCGAACAAACUCAAAAUUAAACUUAAUCUUGGAGGGAAAAAAUUAUGCGUCAACAAUCAGUAAAGAUCUUGUGAAGGACAAGUACAUCCACUAUGAUUGGGAUCGCGAGAUAUUGUUGUAAAGAACCAAGAUUGGAGUAGUUCAGUUUGCAACUUUUGGUCCGCAGACGAGUGGUAUUUCUUCCAGUCCUAUUGCUGGAAAAGAACACAAUUCAGAUGUUGAGUUAACUUUAGAUUCUCCUAUUUUGAAGACCACGUCACUAACUGAAAUUUAUGAGCAAUGCAAUUUCGCUCUUGUGGAACCAUCUUCUUUUGAAGAAGCAGUAGAUCAUUGUAAUGACCCUUUCCAUAUUUACACUUAUUUUUAUCGAUUGAGCUUCUCCAUAGCUGCCCCAAGUAAUUUAUGACUUGCUGAGACCGGCGAUUCGAUCACCGGGAAGUUCGUUUGAUUUUAGAAUCAAUCCUUUGUUUAGAAAUCUUCGCUGGUUCCAAAUGCCCACCAGGCAAAAACUUCAGCGAAAUGACCUCAAAUUGAAAAUCUGACUUCUCCAUCACGUUUGAAACGUCAAUUUUAAGCUAGGGAAACCCUUGGUUCAGGUCCUAAGGCUUCUGAGCUUAUUUUGAACUAUUGAGUGCAUUUUAUUAAAAACGAAACUAUAGAUGUAGGCCGCACUUUUUACUGAAACGAAUCUUGGAUGAAAAUUUUAAUGAUUCCAAUGAAUUUGAAAUAUGGUUUACACUCAAAUUUCACUAUUGGAUCUUGUUAUUUGGGUUUCGAAUGAGUUUUGAGGGUCAAAAAUAAAUUUUUGACUUUACUGUCACGGGGAUACCGCAUCUCUCCGCCGAGGGGUUUAUAAAUAGACCUCAAAGUCAGCGAAUUUGUGGAUUUUUCCUUCAUUUUUGAGAACCUAAAACUAAAACCCUAAAUGGGUAUGAUAACUCAAAAUUGAGUCUUGUGGGUGUCUAAGGAGCUUGGUGAAUAUUUAUUAUCAUGAUUUUCACUCGGAUUAAGGUAAGAUUUCAUCACUUUAUUGAUGAAUUUCUUGAUUUUUGAUGCCAAACCCCAAAUUCACUGGGCCCAAAGAUUUCUUGUUUUUCACCCAUUUUUUAGGAUUUUGAUUCCUUGUUCAUGUAUGAACGUUGGGUUGACUUCGAAAACGCAUUUUUCAUAAGUGGGAUCCACUUAGGGUUGUUUGAUGUCGUUUUUAGAUCCGAAGUAUAAUAGUGUAAUAUGGGUAUCAUUAAACUCGUACUGAUGAAUCGAUUAUGAUUUUGAUAGUGUAAUGAUAUUUUAGGGAUUGUGAAGUGAAGAGUGUGUGGUGCAUGAAUUGAGGUUUUGUGAUUUGGCCUUGAGGUAGGCUUUUGUCUACUUUUCUUCAUAGAUGAUGUGUGAUAUAUGUUGAGUGAAAAUAUGAAUGUUAGGCUUGAUUAUGAUUAGGAUAAGUUGGCCUUGAUUGUUGAUGUGGAUAAGUUGGCCUUGAUUGUUGAUGUUUGGAGAUUAGAUAAGGAUUUUGGACCCAUAAAAUGGCAUGUUUAUAACCCUUUUGAAUCCUAUUGCUUUUCCUUUCUAGUUUAGAAUUAUUAUAGCAUGGUUGUGAUGUAAACCUAUGUUUAGGAUGUGGUUUUAACAUUUGAAGCAUGAUUAGUACAUUUGACCAAUUUGGACUAACGAGGUAGUCUUGAAAUCGUAAUUUGGAUAGAGUUGAUUUAAGUACCCUUGUUUCUAGUCAAUGACUUACUUGAUAUCUAGAAGAUGAACUAGACACCUUAGCCUAGUUUGGGGCAUAGCGUGCCUAAUUAUGGAAGUGAAGGAUUAGAAGUGGGAUCAUCCGGCCCAUUAAGCCAAGACUUGUGUUAGCCCUUGUAGGCUUAGUUGCGGAUAGUAGAUUUAGUUGAGACUAAUGAGCCUUAUUUAUGAGAUUUACUUAGUGAAUUAAUAAAUUGUGAUGAUUUUCACCGAAUUGUUAUUAAUGGACUAUAGAGACGUUAAUUUCCCAUAGAUGUGAUAUUGGGCAUUUUGAGAUAUUAUUUCCUCUUAAUUAUGAUAUUUGGCCCAUAGAAAUGCAUUUUCCUCUUAAUUAUGAUAUUUGGCUCAUAGAGAUGCAGAAAAUUACAUGCCAAAGACCCAAAUACGAGUGAUUUUAGCUAUUUGACUUCAAUAGAAAUAUCUUUAAAGAAUAACUUUCCUUACAUUUUAAGUAUAGUACAAGUAUCAUUUUUCCUCUUUACACCUCAAAUAUAUUUUUAAACUUUCCAUAUCAUUUGUCUGUAAAAUUUUAUUUUUAAUUAUUUUUACCUUUUUUUUUUAAUUUUAUUAUUCUAUUUUUUUAUUACUCUUACUUUUUAAUUUUUUCUUUAAUUUUAUUUUUAUUAUUUAAUUCAUUUGUCUCAACCUUUAUUUUUUCUCUUUUUUUCUUUUCUCUCAAACAUUAUCUAUUUCUUCAUUUUUUUUAAUUCAUUUCUCUCAACUUUCAUUUUUCUUUUAUUUUUUAUUUUUAUCAUUUCUCUUUUUUUCCCCCUCAUUUAUCUCAAAUUUUUUAUUUUUAUUUUUUCCUCUUAUUUUUAUUUCUCAUUUUUUUUUAAUUCUUCGCCUUUUUCAUCUUUAUUUUUUUCUUGUCUUUUUUUCUCAAUCUCUUUUUUAUUAUUUCUCUAUUUUGUUUGAUCGUUUUUUUCUCAUAAUGUGAUAGUGUCAACUCUUAUUCAUGGUGCAUAACUUGUUUAAAAUUCCUUAAUUUAUAAAACAUCUCAUAAAUCAAGACACAAUAUCGUAGAGUCAAAUUUUGUCCGUGAAGCGUAACUUUUUGUUUAAAAAUUCUUGGGCUAAGUCUUGUCUCUAAAUCAAGCGUUAUAGAAUAUUUCAUAAAUCAAAACAUAAUAUGAUAGUGUCAACUUACCCAUAGGACAUAACUUGUUAUUUGAAAGUCCUUGGGUUAAGUCUUGCCUCUUAGAAUUAUAGAAUAUCUCAUAAAUCAAAACACAAUGUGGUAAUGUCAACUCUUGCACAUGGGGCACAACUUGUUACUUAAAAGUCCUUCGACUACGUCUUACCUCUAAGAAAAGAGUUAUAAAACAUCUCAUAAAUUAUACACGAUGUAAUGGUGUCAACUCUUGUCCGUGAGGCAUAACUUAUUGUUUGAUGGUCCUUAGGCUAAGUCUUUACAUCUAAGACAAGAUUUAUAGAGCAUUUCAUAAGUAAAAAACAAUGUAUUAGUGUUGAAUCUUGCCCAAUAUAUAUAAUUUGUUUGAAAAUUUUUUAGAUAAGUCGUGCCUCUAAAGCGAGAGCUAUAGAAUAUCUCAUAAAUAAAAACAUAAUGUGGUAGUGUCAACUCUUGCCCGUUGGACAUAAUUUGUAGUUUGAAAGUUCCAAAGCUAAACUUUGCCUCUAAGACAAUAGUUGUAAAACAUCUCAUAAAUGAAAAUAUAAUGUGGUAGAGUUAAAUCUUGUCCGUAAAAAAUAAUUUGUAGUUUGAAAAUCCUUGAGCUAAGUCUUGCAUUUAUGGCAAUAGUUGUAGAAUAUCUCCUAAAUGAAAACAUAGUGUGGUAGAGUCAAAUCUUGCCCAUGAGGCAUAAUUUAUUGUUUGAAAGUCUUUGAGCUAAGUCUUACCUCUAAAGCAGUAAUUGUAGAACAUCUCAUAAGUAAAAACAUAACGUGGUAGAGUCAACUCUUGCCCGUGGGGCAUAAUUUAUUGUUUGCAAGUCCCUGAGCUAAGUAUUGCCUCUAGGAUAAGCGUUAUAAAAUAUAUCAUAAAUCAAAAUACAAUGUGGUAGUGUCAACUCUUGCCUAUAAAACAUAACUUGUUGUUUGAAAGUCAUAAAUCUUACCUCUACAAUGUGGUAGUGUCAACUUGCCUCUAUAAUGUUGUAAUGUCAACUCUUGUCCAUGCAACGUAGUGUAUUGUUUGAAAGUCAUAAGUCUUACCUUUAUAAUGUGAUAAUAUCAACAUUUGCUCAUGAGAUGUAACUUGAAUAGAAGAAAUCAAAGAAAAGAACAAAAAUAAUAAAAUUACAGAAAAAGAAGAAAAUUAAGAAAAAUAUUAAAAAAAUAAAAACCAAAGAAAAUGUAAAAGUUGAGAGAGAAUGAAAAAAAAAUAAUGGUUGAUAAAAAUAAAAUAAUAAAAAGAAGGUCGAGAAAUUUUUAUUUUUUAAAAAAAAAAAAAGAAAAAUCAAAGAAAAAUAAAAAAAAGUUUGUUUUUUUAAAAAAGUAGACAUUGAGAGGUGUAAGGACAAAAAAGUAUGAGAGGAAAAAAGAAAAAAAGUAGGGAUUGAAAAAAAUCAAAAAUAAAAAGAGAAAAUAAAAAAUAAAAAUCAAAGUAAAUUUAAAAGAGAAAAAAGUGAAAGUUGAAAUAUAUAAAUAUGUAGUUGUUAGCCAUUAUGAGGAUCAUUUAAGUAAUUUAAUUCAUUGGCAAGGACAAUUUCGUUCAAAAAAAUAUUAGUUAAUAGAUAAAGACUAUUUUAAGAAAACUUUUUUAUUUGGAGCUAAAAUUUAAAAGUCACCCCAAUUUUGGUCUAUUCUUGAAAUUUACCCAUAGAGGUGUAUUUUCCUCUAAGAGUGUGUUUGGUAUGAAGGAAAACAUUUUUCAGUUUUCUUAUGUUUGGUUAGGUUAUAUAUUUUGAAAAAAUAUUUUCCAAAUCAACUUAUUUUCUCUAAAUCUAAGGAAAAUGAUUUCCCUUCAAAAAGUAAGGAAAACAUUUUUCAAAACUCUCUUUCAACCUCACUUUAAAGUUGAAAUGUUCACACAAUUCUCAAAAUCAUCUACCCCUGCCCCCAAUACCCUAUCACCCCUACCUCUCCCCUACCCCUACCCCUACCAAACACCCCUUCCAAAAACAAUAUCUACAUUUUAUUACAAAAUUCAACUUUUCUCUUACCCCACACCCCUACCCUCUCCCCACGACCUAUAAAAAAAAUAAAAAAUUAUUUUUAAAAUUUUUUAAUUUUUUUCUUCCCCCUCACUCCCCUACCCUGACCCUUAGCUCCUACUACCACCACCACCACCACAACCACCUCCCCCCGCACCAAUUUUAAAUAAAAAAAUUAAAACUUUUUCUUAUUCCACCACUACUACCUAUUUUGAUACCCACACCCACACCCAUCCGCCUACCAACCCCCUUCCCAAAAAAAGAUUUAAUUUUUUAAUUUAUUUUUAAAAAAAAUUCUAAAAUGUAUUUUUUAAAAAAUAUUUUUUCAUUCACCAACCAAAUAUUAGAAAAUAUUUUUCGAAAAAUAUUUUCCAUCCACUAACCAAACAUAAGAAAACAAGUAAGAAAUCAACUUGUUUUCCAAGAAAAUAUUUUCCAUGGAAAAUAUUUUCCUUCAUACCAAACACACCUAAAUUAUGGUAUUUGGCCCAUAGAGAUGCAUUUUUCUCUUACUUAGUGAUAUUAUGCCUUCUAGAUGUGAGAUGUCUCAUAUAUGUGAGAUGAUUAUAUAUGUUUCGGCUUAUAAAUAUGAUUAUUGAUAUGAGUUUUGGAUACGUAUAUGGGCCUAAGGCCGUGAUUAUGAUGAUGAUUGGAUAUUCGAGAAGUGUUUAUCAUUAUAAAGAAUGCAAUUACAGUUUAUGAGUAUGCAUAUAUCUACUUUUAUACACAUCUCUACGAUAUAGGAUGAAGGAAGAUGCAGUAUUUUUCUUACGACUUUAUUGAUUGGAUAUUGGUGAUGACAAGCAUAGAUUCGGUACAUUCAUGAUUAUUAUAUCGGCAACUUAUGUGAUUUCAAAUGAAAUAUGAUCGUAUGAUUGUUCUGCUUAAUUAAAGAUUAAGCUAUGUGGUAGUUAGUUGUCUUUUAGGAGACUAUAGCACUUGGUGACUAGGAAUCAAAUGUAUUAAUUAAUGAAUCUUGCUUAGUUGAAAUAUGAUAGUUAUCGAUGGUUGAUGCAUGGCUAAUGAUGAUGUCGGGUUUAGCAUAGGUGAAGAUUAGUGAUAUUGAUGACUAAGUUUAUAAUGUUUAUUAAUUGUCAAAUGAGGGGUCGUGAAUUAAUGAGGUUAAAUAAUAAGAAGUGAUGGUAAUAAAGAGGUCUAGUUAAUAAUGUAGAAGCGUUGCUACAUGCUUGAUUAAUGAAUAGUUAAAUAAGAAUUAGUUGAUAACAAUGGUUAGUUAAUGAAUAAUGUUAGUUAAUAAAAAUGGUUAGGUGAUAAGUGGCUAUGUGUUGUCUAAUAAUAGUUAACGGAUAUAUGAUGAUUAGUUCAUAAUUUGGAAUAAUGGGUAAAUGGCUAUUAUGGUUUAGUGAUGAACAUUGAAGAGAUGUUAGAUGUUGGAUAUUUAAUAAAUAAUGGUCAGUUGCUAUCCCUUGAAUAAGGAUAAUGUUUAGACAAAUAACUAGAGGUCACAUGAUGCCGAGUGAACUAGUGGUUUCAUUACAAAUAGUGUUGAUUAGAUACCUUAUGGUGAAACGAUUAUGUUGAUGAGUAUAUUAGUAUAUGUUAUUCCAUAACGGUUGUUAUGAUGAUAUUUAUACCCGAAAAGGCUGGAGGAUACUAUUGUGAUGAUAUUGAUCCCCGAUAAGGUUGGAGGAUGCUAUUGUGAUGAUAUUGAUACUCGACAAGCCCGAAGGACACUAUAGUGAUGAUAUUGAUACCUGAAAAGGCCGGAGGAUGUCAUUGUGAUGAUAUUGAUACCCAGCAAGGCCGGAGGUUAAUUGCAAUGAUGAUGGUCAUGAUGAUGUUAGUUAUGAUGAGCUGUGAUAUUGAUUAUGUACCAUGUAUUCAUUCAUGCAUGCGCAUCGCGUAUUACCAAUAUGUACCCAUGUCUAUCAAUCGGUAUGGGACUGUUGUAUGGAUAUAGGUGAAGAAUAUGCCUUGUGUUGUUGUGUGAUAAUUGAACAUUCUGAGUCUGGGCGAUGAGGGUAUGCAUAGGCUCAACUAGUUAUUUGGUUGUCAUGAGUAGCCGGUUAUUCGCUCUGUUAUUGAUAUUGUUAUUAUCAUUGUUAUGAUCAUUAUUAUGGUUAGCUUAUGACAGAUUGGUCAUUGAUCCAGUAUCGAGAAUUGAGGUAUGUCUUUGGCCUCUUCUAUCUUAUGAUGGUAUUUUUGUACACGAUUAUAUCAUGAUUAGCAAGCAAUAUGGAUUGGAAACCUUGAGUAUAAUAGUAUUGAAUCCUGAUACUAUCAUGAUGAAGUCUUAGAAUAAGGAUAUGAUGAUCUAGACUACAUUUUGAGAUGACCUCAUGUUUACGUGUAUGUAUAUAUAUGUAUCUAGCUAUAUAAAGUUAUGGCACUACCAUAUAUCCCUUUCUUUAUUUAUUCAUAUUGUAUAUCCGUUUCUUGACCUUAUAUCUUGCUAUAUAUCUUUCUUUCACUCUUUAUUUGUAUAAUGGCCUGGGAUAUAUGGUAUAGUAUUGACGUCUAACGAAUGUGGCUGGAAUAGGAUAGUUCACCUUGAUACUUCCUUAGUCUUGUUUUGUCCUGGGAUAUAUGGUAUAGUAUUAGCGUCUGACGAAUGUGGCUGGAAUAGGAUAGUUCACCUUGAUACUUCCUUAGUCUUGUUUUGUUAGACUCUUGGACGUGAACAUAACAGUUGUCCCUUAUUAUUCUCAUUGACUUGUUAUAGAAGCUCUAGACUUUUGGGUGUAGUUUCCAUUCUGUUUAUAUGAUGUGUAUAUCUACUUUAUCUUUGGAGCUUAGUUAACAAUUACCUACGGAGUACCACUCAUUUGGUACUCAUACUACACUUCUGCAGCCUGCAGAUCAUAGUAUGGGUUAUCGUCGUUGAUUGUGCAUGAAGCCAUGGUUCAGAGACUUAAAGUGAACUCCUUACGCUCAGAGUAUUACUGAUUUCUCUUUUUAUAUUAGACCAGUCUCUAUAUUGAAUGCAGAGAUAAGUUGUAUUAGUGUAUUCAUUUGUACUUCACUUUGAAAUCUUCUUACUGUAGAAGCUCUUGUAUUGAUACCACUAGGUUUGUGGAUUUCAUUAUGUAUUUGUACUACCCCAUAUUUCUCAAGCUCAACUUAGCUCUAAGUCCUUGACUGAUCCAAUACAAAAUUUUUGAAGUACUAAGUAUUUUUCAGUUUAGAGUCUGUCAUUUCGUAGGAAAUUCAACCAGCUUUCCAACGAUAUAAAAUUCGUCCAAAUCUAAUAUUCGGGUGAAGAGUUAGAGCUAUUUUUAGUGUAACAGUGUACCAAUUUAGCUGUCAACACGUCGCAGAGCAUGACCAAACAACAAUUGUCAAAAACCAGUAAACCUCCGCGAUCACGACACGUCAUGCCAAGGCUCAUAUUCACAAUCGUCCUUUUCCAGUGUUCCAAUGUGAUUCCACCGCGCCGCGCCACCAGUCAAUUUCCCAAUUGUCACUAUCCAGUGUGACUCCGCAAUCAUGGCGCGUCGCGCCGAGGGUGAAAUUCCCAUUCAGUAAGGCACUGCGAUUUCACUGCGUCGCGCCAAGCUUCCAAGUCCCAGUUGUCAAUUUCCAGUGGCCCGACGCGGUGGAGCCAAAAAUCGAGAUUUCUAACUUUCAGUUCCAAGUUUUAAAAUUCCUUUAAGGGUAUUUGGGUCUUUUCCCACGGCCCUAAUCAGCCUAAAACAUAAGAUUUAACCCAUUAGUGAUCUAAAUAAUCAUCACUAUUCAAUUCCUCUUAAAACAUUGAAGAUCCUUUUCUCAAGAACAAAAACCCUAGCUCUCAAAUUCAAGGCCAAACCUUAAAAACUCUCUAUCAAUCCUCUCAAAUUCAUUAACUCAGGUAUGUUAAAUGUUCAUUCAUGAUUUCUUUCACCCAUGGAGUCCAAGUAUCUGAUUUUAAUUAUAAAUUUAUAAUCUUUUCAAGUUACUUUGUUUUUAAAUUAAGUUUUCAACCAGGAAUCUCCAUGAACUAUGAUUCUACACCAUGUAUGACUGAAAUUAUUGUUGUUAUUCAACUCCCCACGUUUUAAUGUUAUCAUUCAUUGAGUUAAAUCAUGGUUUAGUGCUAUUCAUUUUGAAUUCAUGCUAUUACUACAAAUUUCAUAACAUUCUCAUGAUUUGAUUAAGCUGUGAACUACAAGUGUUUGAUAAAAUGCCUACAAGAAUGAGUAUUUGAUAAAUGUUUUUCAUGCUAAGUCCUUUAAGCUUAAUAUUGUGUUACUAUUUUUGCUUUUGAGUCUAGGGGGUAGUGAAUACCUAAAAACCAUAGUUGUUUUACUUAGCCUUGUCUCAGUAUCUUCAGAAUAACUUCAGCUUAUAUCAUGAGCAUUACAAUAACAGUCAGUUAAACUCAGACUAAUCAAUAACUCAGUGUCAUUCAGUUGGGAGUAGUAUUUAGCAACGAGCGAGUAUAGGGAUGGUGACUUCCCCGUCAGAUAGGCAGAGUCGCUAGUAACAAUCCCUAAACUCUAAAACUACUUAGCCAGCGUAGGAUAUGAAAAGUCACCCGUCAAUAUAGGCUUGACUAUCUCGCAGGGGUCACCCGUUAGAUUAGGCUUGACACCCUUAGUCUUUCGGGACAACAAAGUAUACCAGUUUAGUGAAUCCACACAGCCAUCGUUAGUACCCGUGGCACGGUACUAGCACCCUUCCAACUGGGGUUAAAGGUUGGACCCCAAUUAGCUCAGAUUGGGGCAUGUCGGUUAGAUGAUACCUCCCACAGUCUCAGUUUAGUUAUUCAGUUUCAGUUGUUUGACCAUGACAUACAGAUAUUAGUGAUUCAGUACCAGAUUUCAGUAUUUAUAAACUAUAUUCAAAAUAUGUUAUACGCUUGGUCAUGUAUUUUCAGUAUUUACAGCCUUUCAUGCAUACUCAGUGUUUACAGAUUUCACUUAUUCCUAUGUACCUACAGAUUUCAUGCGCUCUAGUUAGUGUUUUAUGUCUUAUAUGUAUAUUUAGACGGUUAUUAUUCCUGUUCAUGAAACCAUGCACGUUAGCCUACCUCAUUUAGCAUACCAGUACAUUCAAAGUACUGAUCAAAUACUUUCUUUUUUCGCUAUGAUAUAUUAUAUCAUAGGUUUGGACGUCCAGUUCCCAACUCGCUAAUAGUCUUCUCAGAUCCUCAGCAAUAGCAGUGGUGAGUCCUCAUAUUUCGAGGAUAGAUUAAUUCAUUUCAUGUUUUCAGUUUAGUAGUUAGUGGAGUUAGUUAGGGCCUAUCCCAUCAACUCACAGUUAGUCAAUUAAAGGCUUUCAGACACUACUAUGUUUUUUUUUAGUAUUCAGACUUUAGUUAACAUGUCAGUUAGUUAUUCAGUUUAUCAGUAGCUUAUCAGAUUCAGACAGUUGUUUUCCAAUUUUUACAAUUUAUUUUUAAUCUCAAAUAUUAAAACCUUAUGGCAUAUCAGUUAUUCUUCCGCAUUUAUGAUUAUGUUAUUCAGUGCUCACAGCAGGUACCAGCUCAUGGGUUAGCUUGUGGUCCCUCGGGACUGUAAGCACCAUGUGACGCCCAGGGUGUACUCUUGGGGUGUUACAGUAUUUGACCUCUUAUCUUAUCUAUUCUGCAUUUCUUUUAUAUAUAAUUGAGUGGUCCAUUACUAGUCAUUCCGAACUAUGGGAUGGCUUGUCUACUGGUGGGUUAUAGUAGGCGACAUCAUGGCAUGAGAAAUUGAGUUGUGACAAAUUGGUAUCAGAGCCUAGGUUUCAUCAAUGUGUUAGUAUAAGAGCUAAGUUUUAGUAGAGUCCUGCUGAUCAGUGCAGAGACGUCUAUAACCUACCUUGGAAGGCUACAGUGACAUUCUAGGAAAUUAACUUCUUGAUUCCUUAUCGUGUGUCCACAUUCGUAUGAACCUCGAACACAUUCUUUUAUUCUAUUUUAUCCCCGAAGGACGAUGCGACAUUGUCGAUAAAUGUGGACGAGAAUUCAACAUGUGUUUUUAAAGUUUCAGCGUUCAUCAGAUUAGAGAGUUAGAGUUAAUAUUAAAGAUCUUCAGUGGCGGCCAAAAAAGAAUUUAGGCCAGCUUAGGCUCCAGUUGAGCUUGUGACUACUUCAACCUUUGGGGUUCUUGGGAGUUCGAGUCAUGUUGUAGAUCCUUCUCAGCCAUGAAUGACAUUUUAUUCAUCAAGUAGUCCUUACACCAGAGGUGGAUCUAACAGUGUUCAUCAAGUUCUCUACCAGUUUUGAGUAUGAGAUUGGAUCUCUCAUGUGGUCCAGGCAUCUUCCCAUGCCAUAUUAUUUUGAGCCAAACUUUGGUGCAUGGAUGUGUUAGAGGAUUAUUAUUAGAGGAUUAUUAUUGUCACUUCGUUUGGUGUCGGAGCACUUGAUAGUAGCUGAAUAUUCCUUCCCUCAGGGUGUUGAUUAUGAGAGGACCAUAGAGAGUGUAAGUUUUGGGACUUACAGAAAUGGCGGCAAGAGGCAUGCCAUCAAUUUAGUGUUAUUGGUAUUUUAUUUGAAAGCGAGGAUUCUUCUGGUGGAGUUCACAACUCCACCUGCAACCCAUCAGCUCUAGGCAGACAAUAUUACAUUCUACAAGUAGUUCUUAGAGUAGUUGUGAUGAUCAUGGACAGUGGUCAUGAAAUAAUACAAACUCAUACACAUUUGACGCUUAAAUUACUACAUCCAUAUUCACGUCAUGAAACCAAAGGAAACAAUGAGCUCAAGAACAUGUAGUUGAUCACUCUUAUAAGGCCUUCUCGUUCUAUAUUAUUCAGAUAGUGAUUUAAGCCAUAUUCUCUAAUAACCACAUACAUCACAUAUCCGCAUGUAAGCAACCCGUAUGAUAUAAAACGAAAUAUAUUUCGUAUUCAAGUGUCCAAGCGAGAAAAAUUCAAAAUUUCAUGACGCUCAACCAAACGUCUGUAAAUAUAUUAAGCCUUUUUGAAAACCCCUUUUGCGAUAGGAUAAAGCAGCUAGCAUCUUAUAAACAUGUAAGCCAAACAUUUGCACAAUUUACAUAUCUUGAGUUUUCAAAAAAAAUUAGAAGAGUGUAUGUAGUCCAUGGCUACAAGGAAAUAACUUUAAAACAACUAGUUGAUGAGAAUUUGCCGAUGAAUACAUAAUCAAACAUUAUAGGAAAAGAAAAGCGCAUUUCUUUUCUUCAAAAAGAAAACUUCUGGUAACUACACCUCAAGACAGACCAAAUUUCCAAUUGUUAUGGAAAAAUGUUCCCGCAAAAAUGGACAGCUUUGAGGGCAUCUUUAAAAUCGUUUCAUCUUGAGACGAACAAAAUAAGACAACAACAUAGGGUACUUAGUUUGCAACAGAACAGACAACUUGUACAGAUAAAACGUUCACACAAAUGAAAAUUUCUUCAUGUCUUGGACAUUUGAUCAUGACACUACAAAGCAUCUAAACGAAAAGGAGAAACGAGACCAGACAGUUUUCUUAAAUUCAAUUCGUAAGGAAAUAGACAGCAACAUCAAAUGAGAUAGUCAUACGCCAUAUAAAAAUACUAAAGAAUUGAUUGAAGUGUUACUCUAACACGUAGUAAGGAAGAUCGAAAGAAUGCUACUAUAGGUUCUAGAUUCAACCAAACUCUCAGAAAUGUUCAAGGGGUGCUAAAGGGACGCAGUUUCCCUAGAAAAGUACUGAUUACACGGAGGUCAAACCCACUAGACAACUCAACUAUGAGGUCUCCAGAUAAUCAUGAAAGUCUAAGAGAUAGUGAGACGGGACCAAACUAACAGUCAGAUGGAUCUGUUGAGGGUGAACUGCAAAGUAGAAAUAAUCUGAAUGCCAGCUCAUCCGCUAACUAGACAAAAUCAUCGACGUUCAACCGCUAACUAGACAAAAUCAUCGACGUUAAGUUUAGAAAACACAUCAAACGAAGUCCAAAAGCCAUCAAUUGGCUCAAGAGCUACUGAUUUGGCCAGGCUAACGAAUUUCACAAAAGAAUUAUCUGUGACAACUGGAAAUAUACGUGCUCAGCUACAACUAGAAACAACCACACUUCGACGCUCCAUCGUUUCUGCCUAGAACUAUUUUACAAUUAAACCUUUGAACUACACUUAUUGGAUGGUUUGAACUUUUUCCAAUUUUGAAACACAUAAUAGAAUAUCUUGAUGGACAGUGGUCAUGAAAUAAUUCAAACUCACACACAUUUGACGCUUAAAUUACUACAUCCAUAUUCACGUCAUGAAACCAAAGGAAACAAUGAACUCAAGAACAUGUAGUUGAUCACUCCUAUAAGGCCUUCUCGUUCUAUAUUAUUCAGAUAGUGAUUUAAGCCAUAUUCUUUAAUAACCACAUAAAUCACAUAUCCGCAUGUAAGCAGCCCAGAUGAUAUAAAACGAGACAGGAGAAGUGACGAACAAAGCAAGACGGGAUGAUGCACAUAUUCCUUCUAGAUCUCACUCCACAAAAAUAACAAGAAAACACAAAAGGUACAUACUGGACAGAAGAAUUCUGAGGAACAUAUCGUCCUAUAUAGAUGUCUACAGCUUAUCCAGACAGAUAAAAUUUCCCACAACUUGAUUAAUGUUUUUCUGCUAUUAUAGAUAUAAAAGUAUAAAUAUACAUUAAAGAAUAGAUAAGGCAAGGAAAAAAGUACCUUACAACAAGUUAGUACAUCAUAGAAUGUCUUCAACUAUAACAUUUUAAAAAUAUUAGCUACACAAAGGUAAAACAUAAAUGCAGAACUACAACUACAGAAUGUUAUGGAAGAAUGCCAUUGUUGUUGAUUUACUUUACAGGAAAACAAACAAACGAAAACAAAGAAACCAAAGAAGGGACAAUGAAGUUUGUGACGAGAAAGGGGGCCUCUAUUAUCAAACUGAGUAUCGGUCGAGAGCAGCGUCAUUUAACCAAUAAAUUCCUGUACUCCCAACACAUAUUGUCAUUAAGGAAACAAACAGGAAACUAAGAUAAAAUUAGGAAAAAACAAAUUUUAAUAACUACCAGCCCCUUUACAUCGUGAUCAAAUGGGCUUUUUUUACUAUAACAUACCAACAGCUAGCAAACAAAUAGGGGUCCAAAUGGUUGAGAAUCAAAACAGUGAAGAAACAUGAAGCUUUAACUCCGUAUUAACCACUUUUGCAUUUUUAAUCUUAUCUAGAGACACAAACUCACAUAUCAUCACUUAUUCUUUACCGUAAAUCAACAAAGGGAUGAUUGACAAUUCCAACCAAGCAGUUGCAUUAUUGUAUAUCAUGAACAGAAAGGUACUAAUCUCUUAUGCGAUCAUAUCUUGAAUGAAAAGGAGAAGAGAAUCAUUUAGCAAUCGAUGUUCAGAUGGAUAUUUUCCUUACUAGUUUGUGGAAAGCUGGCAGCCCAUUUGACAACAAAAUUAGUCGAUAAGUAAAUUUAGGCCAAAACCAAUCAUACUUCAUCUCGCAAACUCAAAGAAACUUCGGGCAGCCACAUAUUUGGCACACUUGACAUAAAGGUAGCAUAGUAAAGAUAUAAAAAGUUCACUUCACAAGCCUACCUUCACUUAUUUUUAUGAGAAAAGGAAAGUAUCGGAAUAAACCAAGUUCAAAGAGCCACGAACUUGUCAGAAGUUAAGGCCUCUUGGAACGAGAGCAAACUGAAAAGAACAAAAUACCAAAGCGCACCUAACGUAACACACAUCAAGAAAUUAAUAGGCAACAACAAACACCAAACUCAAAAUUAAUUAUUAUAUUAGAGAGUUAGAACUAAUAGAUCAAGGGAGAAAAUUUGGCGGAUUUUCCCAUCUUGUUUAAGGAAAAAAGAUAAGGCUGCAUAAAUCAUGAUUCUGCAUUAUUCUGGAUGCCCAUUUGUUAAGAGAACAAAAUAUAGUUAAAUCAAGUUACCAUUCCUAGAAGAUCCUAGUUAAUACCCGAUUUAUUCAUACUUGAAAUUGCAAAACAUAGGACUAACGCUUCCUUUCAUCAAAUAAACCAAUCAUACUCAAAACUAUGGUCUUAAAAGAGAGAAUAAUAAAAAAGGAGGAAGAGAAAUAGUACUUAGCACACGUAAUCGUAUGGACUUCCUAACAUUCUAAUCGAAGGGAUAUCAACAAAUCGAAACUGACCUGAUCCAAACGAUUGUUACCUAGAAGCUACUCAAACAAACAAUGAAAAAAAGAGCUAGAAGAUUACUUUAAACUCAUAAAUAAACUUCAAUCAAUGCUUCCGCUAAGACGAAAAAUACAGAACGAACUUCACAUUUUUUUGCCAAAUUCAGAAUCGAGACUUUAUCCUUGCACAAAACAGGAAAAAAAACUUAUUGUUAAUCAUUUGAAAAUGCUAAAUGCGUGCAUUAUGCAAGUUUGAAACAUCGACAACAGCAACCAUACAAGCCCAUCAACACUUGAAGCUUUUCAAUAUCAUAUCAAAAAAAUUAAACAAAAACUCUCAAAACAACAACAAAUGCACAUAUUUCAGUCAAGACCAGCCAUGUAACGAGUUGCCUAACUUGUUACAUCCAACAAAGAAUCGAAACAGCAACACAAUUUGUUUAACAAAUACUGAUUUCGAUAAAGAACGGUGUAGAAAGGGUGAAGUUUGUACCUUUUUGGGGGCAGUGAACUAGGGCGUUCUUGUCGGUGAUUCGAGCUCAUUCUUCAAGUGCAUACGAUGAAAGCGAUGAGAGUAAGCAAAGUGUAACCUGAAUCUCUUCAAUUCGAACUCGAAUUCGACUCCAAUUAAGAAAAUAAAGGGGGACCGAGAACUUGAUCUUUUUUCUCCUCUUCCUUAAUGAGUGAAUAGAGGGUUGUGUUUAUAGGCAAAAACUCAGAUCCAACUUCUUCCAGAAGCUAAGAAUUCAAAUUUCAAAACUAAGAAAGAGAGGGAAAAGGAGUAAAAGUUUUCAUCUUGAAGUGAUAGAGAAGACAAUUGUAGCUGUUGGCUCUGCAAAAGCCAAGAAAUCCACCGAUUUGCCGUGAUUGAAGAUGGAAGCUUGGUAUUGAAUUUCAACGUGAAGAAGAGCGAAUUCAGGGAUAUGUCGUGUUAUAUUGUCGAUGUUGAUGUUGCUGUUGUUGAACUUUUGCCCACUGUUUUGCUGAUAAAUCCGGUAUUUGGAGAAUGGGAAAUAGUAAUGGGCCGGGUCAAUUUUGGCCGAUUUGGGUUG
rnacentral:lncRNA from 1 species